UUAUUGAUGUCAAAUUCCAUAGGGGAGAUCCAUCUUGAAAUGCUAACACAUAUAAAUGCUUUGAAUAGUUCGCAUAAUUUUCUAACUAAAUUGAUAGUUGUUCGUGUUACUGAAGAUCAAAUGGAUGAAGAUACGGAUGCAUAUCAUAGAUUCUAUGGCAUGGUGAGAAAGAUAAAAAUGAGGAAAUAUGAACGUGAGAGGAUGCAAAAGAUAAGAAGAUCAGUUUUGACAUGGGAGAUACUGGAACAAGAAAUGGAUGAAUUCCUUCUGGAGAAUUAUUCAAGAUGAUUUAGACUUGAAUAUUCAUAACGUCUCGUUUGCUGAAACUGCCGAGGCACCAUCAGAUUUGAUCUUUCCACUAUUGAGGUACCGAAAGGAGUGGUUAGCUUGGUCAUUAAAGCAAGAAACUAUAUUCAAAGGGGGUAUUCUUGCUGAUGAAAUGGGAAUGGGGAAGACGGCUGAAGCCAUAGCACUUGUGCUUGCUCAACGCAAAUUAAAGAAAGCAACUAGUGGUUCCAAUAUAUUGCCGUCUUCACCCGGUACUUCCUAGGAACUCCCAACAGUAAAAGGAACUCUUGUUGUAUGUCCUGUAAUUGGAGCAACGCAAUGGUUUCACGGGAUUGAACGUUGCACCACUAAAGGAAGCAACAAAACUUUUGUGUAUCAUGGCACCAACAGGGAGAAAUGUAUGUAUAAACUGGAGGAAUAUGAUUUUGUCAUUACUACGUACUCCACUAUCGAGGCUGACUAUUGGCCAAAGAAGUCAUAACAGAACAGCAAGAACUCAAAAUGGAGUGAUGAUGGUUCUAUUGAAAAUUCAGCCUGGGUUGGUGAAGAUGUUUCCACAAGGAAGUCAGUUCUGCAUUAAGUGAAGUGGGAGCACAUCAUUUUGGACGAGGCAAGUCAUAGAUUCAUGCAUUAAGUUUUUGUUUUCUUAACUUGGCAUUUCCAGAUACAUGGUGAUCAUUUACUGUUUAUGCAAUUUUUUUCAAGUCGAUCAUGUUAGCUACUGAAAAAUAUGCUAACAGCUAUGCUGGUCAUUAGUUUGUGAAGAAUCUUAUGGUGGUUAGGAAGAAACCUAUAAGUUAAUUGCUGAAUAAUCUUAAUAAAAUUUUAGCUAUUAAGACACAACAUAAUGUAAGAACAUGGAAUUUCAUCUUCAAUUCUAGUUUGAACACCCUUUUAUAUUUUACAUGGACAUUUUGUUCUCUUUGUUGCCCUGAAACAAUUCUGCAUGCGUUUUGUAGUCUAAGAGUAGAACUCCUAAAUUUCAUGUGACACAAGAUCUUUUAUCUGAAAUGUUCUUAACUGAUUGAAGUUUUGUGGCAUAUAUAGGCUCGUUAUAUCAAAACUGUAGACAUCAAACCACAAAGGCGGUUCUUGCUUUAGAAUCUUCUUAUAAGUGGGCCUUAACUGGUACACCCCUGCAAAACCGUAUUGGAGAAUUGUACUCAUUUGUAGGUUAACUUCUGCUACUUUAACUACAUUUUCCUUACUUUGAAUUGGUUUGAGCUUAAUUAAAUUAUUUACUUCUAUACAGGUCCGUUUCUUACAAGUUAUCCCUUAUGCUUAUUACUUUUGCAAAAAUUGUGAGUGCAGGGGACUUGAUUUUAGGUAGACACAAAGGUUCCUUUUUAAAUCCUUGGUCCUACCCGGCUAGUCAGCUACCCUGAGGGUGAAAUAAGCAACGACUCAAAAUUAUUUUGCUUUAUAUUGUUAUUUCUGAAAUAUCUUGUGAGGACCGUCCUUUGAUAAAUUCGACAGCUUUUCUGAUGUGUGCCCACAUUGCCCUGACCAACGUGCACUCCACUUCCUCUGGUGGAGGAAAGUAAGUUAAUAACAUACAUACUUUUGAGGCUUCAUCUGAUUGCUGACAUAAUAAAGUUGACACGUCUUCUUUUUCUAGUAUAUUACAAAACCUUUAGUGACUAUGGGACACGAGAAUGACGGUGGAGAUGCUAUGGUUUUGUUGAAGCACAAAAUUCUAAAAAGCCUAUUGUUAAGACGUACCAAAAAGGAAAGAGUUGUUGAUCUUUCACUUCCCACAAAGACUGUAAGUUCUGUCUUGCAGUGGUGUCAUGUGCUUCAAUUUUGAUAAGAAUCUUGUAUUAUUGGUUACUAUUUUUGGGUUCAGGUUAUUAUGAGAAAAGAUUCUUUGGAUGUGAGUGAAUUUAACUACUACAAGUCAUUGCACAAUAGAAGUCGGGAACAGUUCGAUAGGUAUUUUUCAAACUCGAGCUCUUCUUCCUUGCAAGUCCAAUUUCUUGGCUUCGUCUGCACCAAUUUGCUGGCUCAUUGUUUUUCUUUUUUUUAGCUGCAUAUCCUGUUUCUUGUUUAUGCAUGGAUUACUUUCAUUAAAUUUGUUUCCUAUAAUUGCUUGUCCUUGAGUAGUUAUUAAACAUAUUGGGUUAGUAUCUUGGUUUUUAACUUAAGAUCUUAUACAUCUUUUUCUUCCCAUAAAAUUCUUAAUCAUUUGAGUCAUUGCCUGCCAAAAAGUAAGGGAGCAAAAAUAUUUUUAUUUCUAACUAUGUCUGCAUUUUGUAUUUUGGUGCAGACUAGUCCAGGCUGGAACUCUGAUGAAUAACUAUGGUCACAUUUUUGCUAUGAUCACACGCCUACGGCAGGUACCAACAUUCCUACUCCUCAUUCUUUUUCUUACAACAUUCCUACUCAUGACCCUCAUGAUUUGGUCACAUAAUCUCUAUCCAAUUUUCUUUUCUUGCAAAAAUUCAUUUUCUGCUCUUUCCCAUAGUCCUUUUUAAUUGACAAUGCAUUUCUUAUGUGUGCAUAGAUAAGAAUAUUGUGGAACUUCUUUUUGUAUCUUCUGUUUCAUGUCGCUUUUCUGCUGUAAUUUUUGAAUAAACAUUUCUCGGUAUAAGCUUAUCACUAUGAUAUUACAUUGUUUUUCCCACUGGGGGGUUAGAUGUGUAGUUGGAAGAUAAUAAUGGAUAGUUAAUUAAAUUUGUCAAGGGGUUUAUCAAAAAAAGUUGUUUGUCAAAAAUUUGGUCAAGGAAAUUAUGGGACCAACAACAACAACAACAACAACAUACCCAGUGAAAUCCCACUAGGUGGGGUCUGGGGAGGGUAAAGUGUACGCAGACCUUACCACUACCUCGUGGAGGUAGAGAGGCUGUUUCCGGAAGACCCUCAGCUCAAGUGUAACAAAGCCAAGUAAAGGAAGAGAAUUAUAUAAAGCAUAACAUCCAAUAAGAAAAAUAGUGCAUAAUCAACAAAGGGGGCAAUACAUCAAGAAAAUAAUGCGAGAAGUGAAACGCAGUAAACAACAUAAGGCAAAAGGGAUCACAUACAAGAACUACAAGUGUACGGCUAAGACUCCUACAAACGCUAACAACCCAUACCCUCGCCAGGAAAGACAGCACGCUAACCCUACUAGCCUUCAACCUUAAUACGUGACCUCCACUCCUUCCUAUCUAGAGUCAUGUCCUCGGUAAUGUGUAGCUGGGCCAAGUCCUGUCUAAUCACCUCUCCCCAAUACUUCUUGGGCCUACCUCUACCCCUCCGCGUACCCUCUACUACCAGCCCCUCGCACCUCCUCACUGGGGCGUCCGCGCCCCGUCUCUUCACAUGUCCAAACCAUCUCAGUCUCGCUUCCCUCAGCUUGUCCACCACAGAGGCCACUCCCACCUUCUCCCGGAUAACCUCAUUCCUAAUCUUAUCGCUCCUAGUGUGCCCACACAUCCAUCUCAACAUCCUCAUCUCCGCAACAUGCAUUUUCUGAACAUGUGAGUUCUUGACUGGCCAACACUCCGCUCCAUACAACAAGGACGGUCUAACUACCACUCUGUAGAACUUACCUUUAAGUUUAGGCGGGAUUUUCUUAUCACACAAGACUCCAGAGGCAAGCCUCCAUUUCAUCCAAGCAGCCCCAAUGCGAUGUGUGACAUCAUCGUCGAUGUCACCACUUUCUUGGAUUACAGACCCAAGAUACUUAAAACUUUCAGGGAGUGAAACGCAGUAAACAGCAAAAGGCUAGGACUGCUCCAAACGCUAACAACCCAAACCCUCGCAAGGGAAGACAACCCGCUAACCCUACUAACCUUCAACCUUAAUACGCGACCUCCACUCCUUCCUAUCUAGAGUCAUGUCCUCGGUAAUGUGUAGCUGGGCCAAGUCCUGUCUAAUCACCUCUCCCCAAUACUUCUUGGGCCUACCUCUACCCCUCCGCGUACCCUCUACUACCAGCCCCUCGCACCUCCUCACUGGGGCGUCUGCGCCCUGUCUCUUCACAUGUCUAAACCAUCUCAGUCUCGCUUCCCUCAGCUUGUCCACCACCGAGGCCACUCCCACCUUCUCCCGGAUAACCUCAUUCCUAAUCUUAUCGCUCCUAGUGUGCCCACACAUCCAUCUCAACAUCCUCAUCUCCGCAACAUGCAUUUUCUGAACAUGUGAGUUCUUGACUGGCCAACACUCCGCUCCAUACAACAAGGACGGUCUAACUACCACUCUGUAGAACUUACCUUUAAGUUUAGGCGGGAUUUUCUUAUCACACAAGACUCCAGAGGCAAGCCUCCAUUUCAUCCAAGCAGCCCCAAUGCGAUGUGUGACAUCAUCGUCGAUGUCACCACUUUCUUGGAUUACAGACCCAAGAUACUUAAAACUUUCUUUCUUAGGAAUGAUCUGUGUGGCAAGUCUCACAUCCACAUCUGCCUCAUCCAAUGCAUCACUGAAUUUGCACCCCAAAUAUUCUGUUUUGGUCCUACUCAACCUGAACCCUUUGGACUCCAGCGUUUGUCUCCACACCUCCAACCUCGCAUUAACUCUGUCCCGCGUCUCAUCAAUCAGUACUAUGUCAUCCGCAAAUAACAUACACCAUGGGACAUUCUCCUGAAUGGACCGCGUCAACUCAUCCAUCACCAAAGCAAAUAGAAAAGGGCUAAGGACUGAUCCCUGGUGCAACCCCAUCUCAACUGGGAAAUGUUCCGAGUCUCCUCCAACCGUUCUAACCCGAGUCUUGGCUCCACCGUACAUGUCCUUUAUCGCCCUAAUAUAAAUCAUCGGGACACCUUUAGCCUCCAAGCACCUCCAGAGGACAUUCCUUGGCACCUUGUCAUAUGCCUUUUCAAGGUCAAUAAACACCAUAUGAAGGUCUCUCUUCCUUUCUCUAUAUUUUUCUACCAGUCUUCGCAUCAGAUGGAUGGCUUCGGUAGUCGAUCGUCCCGGCAUGAAUCCAAACUGAUUCUCAGAGUCAUUUUUUUAACUGCUCAAAUAUGUAAAAUUGGUGUAAAGAUUAGACUAUGGAAGACUUAUUUGAUGUGCAUUCAAGAUUACCAGAUGACUGCUAAAGGUUAUUAAACAUAGUUGCUUGCUUAAACUAUUUUCUCAUGUCAAAGCUAAUGUUUUGUACUAACCUUUUCUCUGUGAACUUAAUUUUGAAGUGUCUGCUUCUAGUUUUCUUGUCCUUCUAUUAUAUGAACGCAAAUACAAGCACAGGCCUUUCUUUUGCUUCGUCUGAACUUGCUUCUCAUAAAUAUAUUUGUCUUACUAUGGGUCAUCAGCCAAAUUUGAUUGCAGAAAAUGUCUGACCAAUAUAAUGUCUUUCUUUAAUCGGCAGGCAACUGAUCAUCAUAACCUUGUGAUCUACUCUAGAAAAGAAUUGGCUAGUGGCAAUAAAGAGGCUGGAGAUGUUGAAAAAUUAUGUGACUUAUGUCAUGAUGCAGUGGAAGAUCCAGUAGUGAGUUUGCGCACCUCUACCCACUCCCUCCUCCCAAACCAAGAAAUACGAAAAGAGAAGAAAAGGAAAGAAACAAAUCCAGAAACUUCAAGCACCUUUCAAUUGCUCAUUGUCAAUUUGAUAGCUCUCUCCUUUUUGCAUUUAUUAAAUUAUUUUUCUGUUAGCCAUUCAAGGUCCAAGAAUUUCAAGCACCUUCAAGUCCUUCUAAAUUAGACAGAGUCUUCUUUGAACUGUGCAUCUCUUUUUGAUUGUUGCAGGUUACUUCUUGCAGGCACGUGUUUUGCAAGGCAUGUUUGAUAGGCUUAGCUGAAAGUGUGGAGAAAAUGCCAUGCCCUUCAUGUACCAAACUCCUCACAUUUGACUUCACUGCAAAUAAUGAUAAGGGAGAUUCUAAUUCUAAACCUACUGUCAAAGGGUUUAGGUCCUCAAGUAUUUUGAACGAAAUUCAGCUUGAUAAAUUCCAAACGAGCACUAAAAUAGAUGCUUUGGUAUGCAAUUGCAUUCUACACUCUCAUCAUAUUCUCCUCGGUUUGCUUUUCUUCUUUGCCUUAUGGAUUUCUUUCCUUUUUACAAAGAGAGCAAGAGAUGUCAUGUCACAUCAUCAUAUGCAGGCGCUAAACCAUUAUUUAUUGUGAUUCUCAGGCUUAUUCCAUUAAUAGAUUCAGAACUAAGAAAAUGUUCUAACCCAAGGGGUGUGAGCUCGUGAUCUUGUAGCUUCAUCAUGUCCUAUUGCAUUGAAGAAAAUCAAACUGCUUUGAAACCCACUCAGUGGAACAAGUAUUGAAGAAUCUCAGUCUUGUUAAUUUGAUUGAUGUUCCCCUUAACUCUUUGAUUCUUCUACUUGUGAAUAAUAUUGCUAAAUACAUUCUUGAUGCUCACUUUUAAUUUUAUUGAAUGUAUGGGGAAGAAAUUAGGUUCAUGGUUGAAAGGGAUGGUUCUGCAAAAGGAAUAGUUUUUUGCCAGUUCACAUCAUUUUUGGAUCUGAUACAGUAUUCUCUUAAUGUAAGAUAUAAUAGUACUUUCUCCUUCCUACUUUCCAUUCCUCUUUUCAGACUAAUAAAAAAGAUGCUCGUAUUGUGUGUAUUCAGCUGUCGGGCAUCAAUUGUGUUCAAUUAGUUUGAUCCAUGUCUAUUGCCGCAAGAGAUGCUGCAGUUAACAAAUUCACUAAGGAUUCAGAUUGCAGGAUAUUACUUAUGAGUUUAAAAGCUGGAGCUGUUGCUCUCAAUCUUACAGUUGCAUCAAAUGUAAGGAUCUAUUUUCUUUCUCUGGGUACUGCCCUAAAUUCUUAAAGCUUGUGCGUAUCUAGUGUUGCAUUCCUAUUAUAUUUCCUGUUAUUUGGUUUGUUUGAUAUACCUAACUUCACUUCUCUGCACACUCAAAGAACCAGCUCAAGAUACUAUUGUGACUCGUAUUUAUCUGUUGAAUAAGCACAUGACACAUUUCAUGUUAGGUGGCUCAUCUCUUGAUCCUUUCUAGGUUUUCUUAAUGGAUCCUUGGUGGAAUCCUGCGGUGGAGCAGCAAGCCCAAGAUAGAAUCCAUCGAACAGGGCAAUAUAAACCUGUCUGGUGUGUUUUGCCUUUCUUGUACUUUCGAGGCCAUUGAAUGGAGCUUAUUAUUUUCUUCUAAUUUGUAGGAUUGUGAGAUUUGUGAUAGAGAAUACGAUUGAAGAGAACAUCAUAGAGUUGCAAGAGAAGAAGAAAUUACUUUUUGAAGGGCAAGUGUCCUUUCCUUACAGUCGUCACAUAGUUGCAUGUGUUGUGACAAAAAUAAAGCAUUUUGAUGAUUUUCCUUGCAAAUUGUUAUUAUCAAUCUUUUUAUUAGAUUACUUCUUUGCUCCCACCUUCCCGUCCUCCGCUCUUUCUCUUCCUAAGGUUCUUCAGAGGCCUUCACAGUUCUGAAUUCAGCUGCUUUAGUAAAGAAUAUUAAGAAAAAGGUUCCUUACUAUAAAAAGGAACUAAUUUUAGUACCUUUACUAUAGCACCACACUUUAAACUUUUGUUUUUUGUUCGCAUCAACCACACUUUCAAACUAAUACCAGAGAGAGUUGUUUGGAAGGUAAACACUCCUAAGGUUAUGAGUUCGAGAAAAGGCCAUUUCAAGAAAUCUAUCAACAAAAAUAUAAGAAGGAACUGAAAGUAUUACAAUUCAAAGUCUAACAUGUCUCGAAUAUUGAGUGGGUUAACCUGAGAAAGAGAUCCGGACAAACCUUCCAAAAAGCAUAGUAGAAAUUAACCACAAUGUCAUCUUUAUGGAUGACUGCUCUACCCAUAAGACCAUCUACAAGUGCUUUCAUUAUGAAUCAAUUGAUCACAUAUAAUUAGACUAGGCAAACUUAGGAAGUGAUCUGAAUCGCUAUCGUAUCAUUGAUAUGAUACAGACUUAUUUGUGGAAUACGUGAAGUAUUUAGCCAAAACCUCAAUAAAUUAGUUGUUAGCUUAUUAUCCCCAAAACACUACAUGACUAACACGAAAGAGGUUCCAUUUAUAGAACCCCAGAAAAAAUCUAGCCCUCAUUACUCCAAAUCACAUCAACCAUGGACCAUUACACGUAUAGAAACAAAUAAAAAUGACAAAGGUCAGAAACAAAUAGAUCUAUAAGGCAGAUAUUUAAAAUUCAAAUUUGGCGUUGAACAAAAAAAAAAAAAUCAUGUGUGAGCCACUUUUAUAACGAGGAUAUAUCAGCUCUAAAUUACAAAGUUGAGGAAUACUUCAUGCCUUAUACCUAAAUAAAAAGAGAGUACAUAAGUUUUUUUUCCGUGAUAGAGUACAUAAGUUGAGUGAGUGCUUUCAUGGUGCAUUUUUCAAGCUUGUCAAGUUGGAAUUAAUAAAUGAUGAGAUGUUUAUAUAAAAUACUUCCUCUGUUCCUUUUUAUGUGUCACGUUCUUAGAUUUCACUUGCAAUAAGAAACUAAGUUUACAAUUCUACCCUUAUUUAAUGUUUUUUUGAAAUCAACUUUUCAAUAAAUGAUAAAUAAAUACAUCUUUUGUUUUUUAAUUUGUUUGUUAGAUUUUUUUUAUCAAAAUCAAAUUUUAUAGAGUAAUGAAAUAGUGAGAGUAAUUAAUCAAUGUAUGAAAUAAUUACAAUGAACAUUAAUUACUUAUUAAUUUUCCUACGUUGGUCAAAUAUCUAUUUUCAAGACUAAUUAACUAUCAAGGGUAUAAUAGAAAAAAUAUUGUAAUUUAUACAUUGAUUUUAUGAAAUGACAAGUAUUAUGGAAAAACUUUUUAUAGUAAGAAUGACAUAUAAAAAAUUACAAUAAGAGUAUAAAAAUUUGGGAAAAUUUUAAAUUCUUAAAAGUUACCAAAAAAUAGAAUUAGGCCAAAAACUAGUUUUUUUUUGUAGUCCUAUUCCUAAAUGUGUUUGCUUCUUUUUCAAAUCCUAUUCCUACGCCGCCUUUUGUUUUAAUUCCUAUUCCUAAAUGGUUUGCCUCUCCUUUUCAAAUCGAAUUUCUACUUCGAUUCGAAUUUGAUUUUUCUAUAAAUAAAUAAAAUUCACAAUUCACAAAUCAAAACCUAGAACAGAAAAUAUAAAAUCGGCAUGGAUGUAGUGAAACAGAUGAUAGAGGAACGGAAAAGUGUAACCCAACAGGUUGGUCGCUGGAAAUUUUUCAAUAAAUUGGAAAUGGAACAGAAACUACUACAAACACGUCGUCAAGAGGAAAAACGUGAAGCUGAAGCAAAAAACCUGCGUAAAACGCAAUUACAACAGCAACAGAUGAAGAAUGAUACAUCAAAAUUAUUGAAUUCCAAAACUGACAUUCAAUGCCUGAUCAAACCGGAAUCUUCUCCAUCGGCUUUGCUUCCACAAGAAGAAGUUAUUCGCCGGCUUAGGUUUCUGAAACAUCCGGUGACUUUAUUCGGAGAAGAUGAAGAUGCAAGGUUUGAUAGGUUGAAUGUUGUGUUGAAAGCUGGAUUGUUUGAAGUUGAGGAUAGUGAUAUGACUGAAGGGCAAACGAAUGACUUUUUGAGAGAUGUUUUGGAGUUGAAGAAGUCACGGAUGUUGAAGCGGAAGGCGACAGAUCAGGAUAAAGAUCGUGAUGACGAAGAUUUGAAGAGGAUGAAAACUAAUUUUGAGGAUUUGUGUGAUGAGGAUAAGAUUUUGGUGUUCUACAAAAAGUUGUUGAAUGAGUGGAAUCAGGAGCUGGAUAAGAUGAGUCCUGAGGCUAAAAAUCAGAAAAUGGUGGCUACUUUUAUGCAGUGUGCUAGGGAGUUGAAUCCGUUAUUUAAUUUGUGCCGGAAAAGGUUACUUAAUGAUGACAUUAGGCAAGCACUAGUUGUGAUGGUUGAAUGUUGUAUGAAUAGAGAAUAUAGUGCUGCAAUGGAUCAAUAUCUUAAUAAGAUAGCAAUUGGUAAUGCACCUUGGCCUAUUGGUGUUACUAUGGUUGGUAUUCAUGAACGAUCAGCGCGUGAGAAGAUUCAUGCAAAUAGUGUUGCUCAUGUCAUGAAUGAUGAGACAACUAGGAAGCUUCUAUAUUCAGUUAAAAGACUGGUGACAUUCCGUCAACAACGCUACCCAACAAUGCCAUCCAAAUCUGUGGAGUUCAAUAGCCUUGCAAAUGGCAGUGACUUACACUCUGUGCGUGCGCAAGAAUCAACUCCUCAAACCUCAGAAGAAAGGCUUCCAAUAAUGCCUAUGCCUGCACAAGGGACGUCUAUAGUUUAAUUUGCUUUUGAGCUCUGUUUAUUCUGUAUGUUGAUUUUUCACAGACUAAAGUGGUUUACUUUUUCUCCUUGAAGUUGAAACUAUGCCUAUUCAAAGUUCUUAUAUCAAUGUCUUUUCUUCUUUUUUCUAUUGAAAUGAAAUAAUAUAAAAAACCUGCAAAGUCAAUUGGUGAAGUUAACAUGAAAAAAUUAUGGCAUAAUACAUAUAUUGGCCCUUAAACUUGGCUUCAAAUUUUAACUUUGACCUCCAACUUUCAUAAUGCACAAAUAGGCACUUUAACUAUUCUACCUUUAAAUAAAUAAACACGCGAUUUUUGGAGCCAAAAGCGUGAAAUGCAAACGCUCCCACGUGUAUUAGUGACCCACUCAAUGGCUGCCAACUAAUUCAAUGUAUGUGGGUCCGUUUUCCUGUCUAUUUGACACCUUUUCAAUUUGCCAUGCAUUUAUUUCAAUCUCUUUUAAUGGAUAUGAACCCCACCUCACUAAUUCCAUUCCCUUCUCUUUAUUUCUGCCUCACAACUUCUUCCUUCACUUUCAUUUUGUGGUAAAUUAAUAUUUGAAAAUGUCAAUUAUUCAAUUUAUAAUUUAUUUGUCUUAUUUUUUUUUUUUAAUUUAUGUGUUUUCAAAGAUUACAUUUAAGAUACUAUAAAUUAUUAGACUUAAUAUUUAAAAAAAUUUAUUACAAAUUUGAAAAUUACGUAAUAUACACUAUUAAUUACAAUAAUUACUAAUUUAAAAUAUUUUUUCAAUCUAAUAAGAGCCUACAAACACACUAUACGUUACAUUUAAAAGUACAAUAAAUCAUAAUUAAAAUAUAUAUUUUUUAGAAAAUUUUUUGUUGACUCUUGAAAUUCUAUUGGUGACACAUGAAUUUGAAUAGAUGGAACAAUAUAUAUUAUUGAAAGUUAACAAUACUAUAAGUUAUUCGAAAAUGACGUUAAUGAUUUUUAUAAAUUAUAACAAAUUAGCAACUAAAAUAUUUUUGAAAAAACAUACAAAAAAUUAGUUGAUGAAUCAGCCACCACACCGUGGACAUGUAUGCUUUUUGUGAUUAAAAUUGAGUUUAAGGGUUAUUUUGGUCAUUUAAGGAUUUUUCUUUAAACUUCAAGCUUUAUUAAUAGUGAUGUAGUCAUUUUAGAGUUAACAUGAACGUUUACUACCAUAUAAAUAUAUAUAAUUUAUUCAAAUUUAAAAUUUAAAACUAUUUAUUUAACGUCAAUUAAAAAUUAACUUUUAAAUUAAUUAUUAGCACGGACUCUUCAUCACUAGUAUAUAAUAUAAUAAGCGGGAAUAGAGAGGACCUUGGGGUCGACACAUGUUCCUUUUUCCUUCUGGACAAAAAAANNNNNNNNNNNNNNNNNNNNNNNNNNNNNNNNNNNNNNNNNNNNNNNNNNNNNNNNNNNNNNNNNNNNNNNNNNNNNNNNNNNNNNNNNNNNNNNNNNNNNNNNNNNNNNNNNNNNNNNNNNNNNNNNNNNNNNNNNNNNNNNNNNNNNNNNNNNNNNNNNNNNNNNNNNNNNNNNNNNNNNNNNNNNNNNNNNNNNNNNNNNNNNNNNNNNNNNNNNNNNNNNNNNNNNNNNNNNNNNNNNNNNNNNNNNNNNNNNNNNNNNNNNNNNNNNNNNNNNNNNNNNNNNNNNNNNNNNNNNNNAAUAUAAAAAGGGUUUAAUUGUCCUUUCAAUGCUUUUUUUUACUGUUGGCCCCCUCGAUUUUUACAUCUGACGCGCCUAAUUUGAGUGUAUUUCACGCAUUUUGCCAGGUAGGAUCCGAGUGUUUUUUUGUUUAAGUUUUGGAUAGUUAAAGUGCCUAUUUGUGCACUUACAAAGUUAAAGGUCAAAGUUAUAAUUUGAAGCCAAGUUAAGGGUCCAAUUUAUGUAUUAUGCCAAAAAUUAUACAUAGUUGUUAUUGAAUAAAAUUAAGGGAAAAUGCAUAAGUACCCCCCCAGCCUAUGCCCGAANNNNCCCCCAGCCUAUGCCCGAAAUCUCAGAGACACACCUAACCUUUACUAAGGUCCUAUUACCCCCUCGAACUUAAUUUAUCUAUAAUAUUCUACCCCUUUUCGGCCUACGUGGCACUAUCCUUGAAAAAAAUGUUAACGUGCGCUGGGCCCACAAGAUAGAGCCACGUAGGCCAAAAAGGGGUAGAAUAUUACAUAUAAAAUAAGUUCGGGGGGGUAAUAGGACCUUAGUAAAGGUUAGGUGUAUCUCUGAGAUUUCGGGCAUAGGCUGGGGGGAUACUUAUGCAUUUUCCCUAAAAUUAAUUAAAAGUCGGAGUCGCAACAACCCCACACUUAAAACUUAAGCAUUCAUACAAGUUAAGCUCAGACUAAACGUUACACACAUUCAUAAUCAGUGACAGACAAUCAUAAGGGUGUGGGGCACCCGACUCUCCCCGCGCUGUGUCAAUUGUAAACCAUAAGGUUCUCUAGCAUAUGUCCUGGCAGUAUAGCAUGGUAUCCACCCCUAUGAUAUGCACCUAGUCGCACAAAAUAAGCGAAAACAAACAUUGAACUAUCUAAACAAACUGACAUGAUUUUCUUAGGUGGGCAAUUAUCAAGAAGAUCAGCUACAGACAAUACAAUGCAAUUUAGUGCAGUUCAGUUUAGCCAAGAUAGUUUAGCUUACAAGAAAUAUGCCCGACAUUGACAUUAUGCCCUAACAGUGCAAACAAAACAAUACUAGACUCUCCUUCAAUACUAUCUAAAACAGCAAAAUACAAGAAAGAAACAAAAAGGCUUAAUACAUGCCAACAAAUUUCAUUUAGUCACUUGUUACUUAGCUGAAGCUUAAUUUGAUAGCCUUUCAAGGUCCAAGAACUUCGAGCAACUUCAAAAUUGUUCAUUGUCAGCUUGAAUAUUACAUGUUCACUCUUUAAAUGCCAUUUACUUGUGUUGAACAGAUUUAAAUACUUUUUCCUUAGGGAAAAGGCAAAUCUGUUAAAAGUUUGGCUCAUCUAUGCCAUACCGUUUGAGAAAAGGCUCAUCCAUGCCAUUAUUUUUUAACACCGGUUUUGUAAAAUUAUUUUUAUCACAACAUGACCCCAAACAACUUUUAACCCUUUUCAAUUGAGGUUUUGAAUCAAAUGUACUCUUUUUACUUCUUCCUAGUCAAGAACACAUGAAGAACGUCAAAAACUUCCAAAUUUCCAACUUCUUCAAUUCUAAACAAAUCACCUCAAAUUUCGGGCACGUCAUUCAUUUUUAUUUUUUUCUUUUAAAAAACGGAAAAGGGUCAAAUAUACCCCUAUACUAUUGGAAAUAGUUUAUAUAUACCCUUCGUUAUACUUUCGGGUCAUAUAUACCCCUCCCGUUAUACUUUGAUACAUAUAUACCCUAAUUUAAACAGAAUAACACAUGUCUGCUUAAAAAUCAAAUAACCCAUCCCUAAUUUUAAUUACCCAAUUCCUUUGAAACCCACCCAUUUCCUACUGACCCACCUUCAAAGAAACCCAUUUUCUUAAGUCAUCUUUUUUAUCUAAAAUUUUCAUUAAAAUCAAGCCUCAACCACCGUGAAAGCUCACUGUGAAACUCAAGGAAGAAGUGAAAAGCUAAAACCAUCUAGACUGAAUCCUCAACUUUCGGCAACCAACACCAGCAAGAGCAUCCCACAAUAUAAAAUGGAAAGCUUUUCGUAACACAAAUGAUGCAAAUACCUUUUAAGGAAAGUUGAUAUUGAAGCUUAUAGUGAGAAAUUAUAGUCAAAGGAGAUGGUGUGGAGAUUUAGCAUCUGGUGUGUUGAACUUAUAUUUUUUUUACUUAUGGAGUACUCCCUUGGUACUGUUAAUAUUAAUAAAAUUAUUUUAUCCUAGUUAAAAAAUAAAAAUGGAAGCAAUGCUUCUCACUUCCUCCUCUAGUUUCACAGUGAGCUUUUGUGGCUGAUUUUAAUGGAGGUUUCGCUUCCUCCUUUAAUCCUCUAGUUUCACAGUGAGCUUUUGUGGCUGAUUUUAAUGGAGGUUUUAGAUAAAGAAGAUGACUUGUGAAAUUGGAUUUGGUUGAAGGUGGAUCACCCGGAAAAUGGGUUUUAAAUGGGUGGGUUUCAAAGGAAUUGGCUAAUUAAAAUUUGGGGAUGUGUUAUUUGAUUUUUAAGCUGACAUGUGUCAUUCUGUUAAAAUUAGGGGUAUAUAUGUACCAAAGUAUGACGGGAGGGGUAUAUAUGACCAGAAAAUAUAACGAAGGGUAUAUAUAAACUAUUUCUAAUAAUACAGGGGUAUAUUUGACCCUUUUCCGUUUAAAAAAAGCCUAAAUUCUUAAAUCAUUUGUGGAGUUAAAAAAACCCACCCGUAUUAUAAAAAUAUUCCAAAAAAAAACUGAAAUCAGUCCCAAAAUUUCAAAAUUUUGCUUUGAUUCUUGUUUUUAUUGUUAUUUUUUAUACUAGCUCGUUGUUCCCAGUGUUUUUGAAUCUAUGUUCAAAAUUUUAAGUGAUCUGGUGUUGUGAAGAAAAUUCUACCAUUAAAGUAUGUUGAAACUUUUAACUUUUGAAGAAAUUUCAAGUGGGUCUUAUUGAAUUAGGUUGAAUUCGAGAUCAAAAGAUAUUGACUUUAGGUAUCUAGCUCGGAGGGAAGCUACUUUUGAAAUUUGAGAUGAUUUCGUGAAGAACCGAAGAAGUUGGAAAUUUUUAGAGUUCUUAGUAUUUUCAUUUGUUCUUGGUGUUCUUGAGGAAGAAUAAACAAAAGGAGUAUAUUUGAUCCAAACUUCCGAUUGAAAAAUGUCAAAAGUUGUUUGGGUCUUGUUGAGGUAAAAAAACUAAUGUCAUGAAUGAACCUUUUCUCAAAUAACAAUGACAUAGAUGAGCCAAACUUUUAACGGAGAACAUAAUUGAGCCUUUUCAAAUUCUAAUGACAUUAAAACCUUUACCUUUUCCUUACAACAAUGUCUGGAUCAAUUUCUAAACAACUAUUUCGAAAAAGAAUAGGUUUGUUGGAAAUGAUAGUUUUCUUUUGUUUUACUUUAAUUCACUAAAUAUUACUCCUUCCGUCCCAUUUUAUGUGAGGUAGUUUGACUCGACAUGAAGUUUAAGAAAGAAAGAAAGACUUUUAAAACUUGUAGUCCAAAAUGAAUGAUAGAAAUUUGUGUGGCUGUAAAUCAUUUCAUUAAGGGUAAAAUAAACAUUUAUAGUUAAAUUGUUACUUAGUAUAGAAAUGUGUCAUUCUUUUUUGGAACUGACUAAAAAAGAAAAUAAGUCACAUAAAUUGGGACAGAAGGAAAAUUGGAUAUCAAUUUCUAAAUAAUAAUUAAAAAAAAUAUCAAUUUUUAAACAUAAAAAAAUGUUACAGUAGGUAAGAAGUCCUAUAUUGAUUGGGAAAUGGACAGGAAUUCUGCUUAUAUGUAGUUGGAAAAUUUUUCUUCUCAUGAAUUAGAUUUUGUGGUUGAGUUAGUUGCAAGUGUCAUAUAUUUAUAUGGUAUCAUAGCCAGAUCCAUCCUAAAACCAUCCAUUUUUGGGCUCCUGAUCUACGCUCUAGUUGGGCUUUUUGGGCUCUCGGUCCACCCUCCACUUGGGCCUGGGCAUGAAGGAGGUGGUUCCCUUUUGGACUCUCGGUCCACGCUCCAGUUGGGCCUUUUGGGCUUUUGGUCCACGCUCCAGCUAAGCCUGGGCGUGAAUGGGUAAAAGGUCCACAAUGAUUGACGAAUGUACUAGUUGUCUGAUUUCUUUGUGCUUAUGAAUCCUCCAAUUCCAGGUUCGUCUUCUUGUUUGUUUUCUUUUGAAGCUCUUGAGUUUCUUGAAAGUUUGGUUGAAAUUGAAUGAUUUAAAAUGACCCAAAAUGGAAAAUAAUGAAUGACAUGUAAAUUGUAAUAAAAUUUGAAUAGGUUCAUCAUGUUAUGCCCUACAUUCAUCAUGUUGUGCCCUAGUUAUGAGCUGUUAUCAAAUUCCAUAUGGAUGCUCCAUCUUGAAAUGCUAACACCCAUAAAUGCUUUGAAUUGAUCGUGUAAUUUUCUAAUAAAAUUGAUUAUUGUUCAUGUUAUUGAAGACCUAAGGGAUGAAGAUACAGAUUCAAAUCGUAGAUACCGAGGCAUGUUGAGAAGGAUAGAUAUAAAGAGACAUCAACGUGAGUGGAUGCAAUAUAUAAGAGGACUAGUUUUGAUAUGGGAGAUAGUGGAACAAGAAAUGAAUGAAUUCCUUCUGGAGAAUUAUUCAAAUGAUUUAAUCUUGGAUAUUCAGAAUGUCUCGCUUGCUGAAAUUGUCGAGCCACCAUCAAAUUUCAUCUUGCCACUAUUGAGGUACUAUUACAACAAAAGUAUGGAGUAAUUUCAAUAUAUAUUAUCCAAAGAAGACAAUGAUUUAAAUACAGGUAAAGAAAAGACUAACUAAGGUAACUAAUUAUCUAAAUCCCUAAGAAUCAGUUAGAAUAUUAUAUACAAGGAAACAUAUAACUUUAUGAUUCUCUAACACUCCACUCAAGCUGGAGCAUAGAUAUUGAUCAUGCCCAGCUUGUUACAAAGGUAAUCAACUCGAGUUCCAUUCAACGCUUUUGUCAACAAAUCAGCUAGUUGCUCUCCUGUCUUUAAGUGGCCAGUGGAAAUCAGAUUCUCCUGAAUCUUCUCACGAAUAAAAUGAAAAUCAACUUCAAUAUGUUUAGUUCUUUCAUGAUACAGCGGAUUUGAGGCAAUAUGAAGAGCAACUUGAUUAUCACACCAAAGUUUUGCUAGUGUAUGAUGCUUUAACCCAAUUUCAGUUAAGAGAUGAUGUAUCCACAUAAUUUCACAUAUGGAUUGCAACAUAGCUCUGUACUCAGAUUAUGCACUGGAUCGAGAUACAACACCUUGCUUCUUACUCCUCCAUGAUACUAGAUUCCCUCCAACAAAGACACAAUAUAUAGUCUGUUGUAGAUCUUCUAUCAAUUUUGGAUCCAGCACAUUCAGCAUCUACAAAACACUCCACACGAGUAUGACCAUGAUUGUUAUACAAUAUGCCAUGUCCAGGAGCUCCUUUUAAGUAACAUAGAAUAUGUUUUACAACUUCCCAAUCUUUGACCGUAGUUGCGGACAUGAACUGAUAACAACACUUACCGCAAAAACAAUAUCUGGACGAGUCACAGUCAAGUAGUUUAAAUUCCCAACCAACCUUCUAUAUCUUUCUAGAUCAUCAAAAGGAUCACUGUCAUCUUUCAUAAGAUGUACAUUGGGUACCAUUGGAGUAUUGCAGGGUUUAGCUGCCAACUUUCCAGUGUUUGCAAGAAGGUCAAGAAUAUACUUUCUCUGAGACAGAAAAAAUCCCUUCUUGCUUCUGUUCACUUCUACUCCCAAGAAGUAUUUCAAUUGGCCCAAGUUCUAUGUAUGAAAUCUAGUAUGCAUAAAAGACUUAAGGGAAGAAAUCCCUGCAUAAUUACUUCUUGUGAUAACAAUGUCAUCAACAUAUACAACAAGGAGGAUAGUGCCUGUUGUUGAUUGUCGGUAGAAGACUGAGUGAUCACAUUUGCUCAUUUUCAGCCCAAAAUCCUGAACUACCUCACUGAACUUGCCAAACCAAGCCCGGGGACUUUGUUUCAUGCCAUACAAGUUCUUUUUUAAUAUCUAACUGAUGUAAAGGCCAAUUCUGAGAAGUAGCUAGAGAAAUGAAUAGGCGGACAUAAGUGAGUUUGGCAACCGGAGAGAAAAUGUCUGAAUAAUCUACCCCAUAGGUUUGAGCAUAUCCUUUAGCCACAAGUCUAGCCUUAAGUCUUACUAUAGACCCAUCUAGAUUAACUUUAACUGUGAAGACCCACUUACAUCCCACUGAUUUCUUUCCCUUAGGUAAAUCCACCAAAUCCCAUGUGUGAUUUUCUUCUAAGGCAUGUAUUUCAUCAAGCAUUGCACAUACCAUCCGGGAUGAUCAAAGCCUCUUUCACUGUUUUGGGUACAGAGAUAGAGUCUAGAGAGGCAAUCAAAGAUCUAGACACAGAGGAUAAGCCAUCAUAGGGAACAAAAUUAGCAAUAUAAUAUGUGGAUUUGCAACUACGAGUACCUUUGCGAAGAGCAAUAGGGAGGUCAAGCUUUUCUGCAGGAUUUGGUGGCAAAUGGAUUGUUAUAGGACAUGUAUCAUUGGUCUCUCGCCUUGUCGAGUAAAAUUGAACAACUGGUGGUCUUACUACCGCCAAUGGAGUAGGAAUUGAUGGGACAAUAGUCGAUUGAUCCUCAAUAAAAGAAUUGGGAAAUGGAGAGACAACAUUUGAUUCUUCCGUCAAAACACGAGUAACUUGAUAGACCCACUCAUCUUCCUCCUCCUGACUUGUAGAAAUUGGAGGUGUAUAGAAGAAUGGUAUAGACUCUGAAAAUGCCACAUCAAUCGACACCAAAUAUCUGCCAAGUUCAGUAGAAUAACACCGAUACCCUUUUUAGAGGUGGAAAUAACCUAGGAAAACACACUUCAAUGCCUUGGGAUCCAACUUGCUAACAAAUGGUCGAACAUAACACGUGCAUCCAAAUACCUUAGGUUCCACUGAAAAAAGUGACUUAUUUGGAAAGAUAACACUAUAAGGCAUAUUACAAGCACACACAGUAGACGACAUGCAAUUAAUAAGAAAGCAAGUCGUAGAGACUGCAUCAGCCCAAAAAUAUUUAGGAACCUUCAUUUGAAAUAUAAGUGCUCGAGCUGUCUCAAGUAAAUGUCUAUUCUUUCUCUCAACAACUCCAUUUUGAGAGGGUGUAUCAACACAAGAAGAUUGAUGAAGAAUAUCAUGUUGUCUCAUAUAUGACUGAAAUAUUUCUGACACAUUCUUUAGCAUUGUCACUUCUUAGAAUACAUAUUGAAGCAUUGAAUUGAGUUUUGACUUCAACACAAAAGUGAGUACACACUUCUGAGCGACUCAUCAUAAAGUAAAUCUGAGAGAAAUCAUUCACAAAAGUAAUAAAGUACUUAUGCCCAGUUUUAGAAAUGAUAGGACAUGGUCCCCAAACAUCAGAAUGAAUUAACUCAAAAGUUGACCCAACCCGUUUAUUUACCCUUGGACUUAAUGAUGUGCAAUGAUUUUUUGCAAAUCGACAAGCUUCACAUUCCAAUGAAGAAAUAUUCUGAAACUCAGGACACAACUUCUUUAAUAGAGGUAAAGAAGGAUGUCCCAAUCAACAAUGUGCAUCAUAUGGAGACACGAUACUAGAGCAAACAACAGGCUGAGACUCCCACUCAUCAAGGAUGUAAAGAUCAUCAGAUACAUGUCCUUUACCAAUAAUCUGAUUUGUCUUAAGAUCACAAAACAUGCAAUGAUCAGGAAAGAAUGAAAUAUAACAAUUAAGGUCUCUCGUAAGUUUACUAACAGAGAUCAAAUUAAUAGCCAAUUUUGGUAGACUUAACACAAAUGACAGAGUAAUAGAAGAGGUUGGCAUAACAAUUCCAAAUCCAACACUAGUACAAGUAGACCCAUCAACUACAGUGAUGGGAGAGGGAGAUUUGUGUGAUUGAAAGCUAAAGAAAAUAUUAGAAUUACCAGUCAUUUGAUUUGUGACACCUGAAUCAAUUACCCAUUUAUUUGAAGAGGUGAUAAGACAUGUUUUAUCUUGCCACUAUUGAGGUACUAUUACAACAAAAGUAUGGAGUAAUUUCAAUGUAUAUUAUCCGAAGAAGACAAUGAUUUAAAUACAAGUAAAGAAAAGACUAACUAAGGUAACUAAAUAUCUAAAUCCCUAAGAAUCAGCUAGAAUAUUAUAACAAGGAAACAUAUAACUUUAUGAUUCUCUAACAGGUACCAAAAGGAGUGGCUGGCUUGGUCAUUAAAGCAAGAAACUAUAUUCAAAGGGGGUAUUCUUGCUGAUGAAAUGGGUAUGGGGAAGACGGUUCAAGCCAUAGCACUUGUUCUUGCUCAACGCGAAUUAAAGAAAGCAACUAGUGAUUCCAGUAUAUUGUCGUCUUCACUCGGUACUUCCCAGGAGCUCCCAACAGUAAAAGGAACUCUUGUUGUGUGUCCUUUGAUUGGAGCAUUGCAAUUGAUUCGUGAGAUUGAACGUUGCACCAUUAAAGGAAGCAACAAAACUCUUCUUUAUCAUGGCGCCGAUAGGGAGAAAUGUAAGUACAAACAGGAGGAAUAUGAUUUUUUCAUUACUACAUACUCCACUAUCCAGGCUGACUAUAGGCCAAAAAGGAAAAAGCAGAACAGCAGUGUUGGUGAAGAUGUGUCCAGGAGGAAGUCAGUUCUGCAUUCAGUGAAGUGGGAUCGUAUCAUUUUGGAUGAGGCAAGUCAUACAUUCAUAGAUUCAUGCAUUAAGUUUUUUGUUUUUGUAACUUGGCAUUUCCAAGUACAAGGUUCAUUUGCUGUUUAGGCAAUUUUUUUCAAGUCGAUCAUGUUAACUGCUUAAUAAUGUGCUAAUAGCUAUGCUGGUUAUUAGAAUGUGAAGAAUCUUGUGGUGGUUAGGAAGAAACCUACACACUUAACUUCUGUUCUCUCUGUUGCCCUUGAACGAUGCUGCAUGUGGUUUGUAGUUUGUGCCUGGUCUAGCUGUUGAGUCCUGAGCGUAGAACUCUUAAAUUUCAUAUGACAUUUUAUCUGCAAUGUUCUUAACUGAUUGAACUUCUAUGGCGUAGGCUCAUUGUAUCAAAUCUGUACACAGCAACUCCACAAAAGCGGUUCUUGCUUUAGAAUCUUUUUAUAUGUGGGCGGCCUUAACUGGUACACCCCUGCAAAACCACAUUGGAGAAUUGUACGCAGUUGUAAGUUAAAUUCUGCUAGUUAAACUACAUUUUCUUUACUUCUUUAAUCGUGAGGUUAAUUAAAUUCUUUACUUCUAUACAGGUUCGUUUCUUACAAGUUACCCCUUAUGUUUGUUACUUUUGCGAAAAUUGUAAUUGCACUGGACUUGAUUUUAGGUAGACACAAAGAUUCUUUUUUAAAUCCUUGUUCCUAUCCCUGAGUGUGAAAUUCACAAUGGCUCAAAGUCUAUUUUACUUUAUAUUCUAAUCAUUUUGCUUCUCAAUUGGUGUUACUUUUGAAACAUCUUGUGUUGUCUGUCCUUCAAUAAAUUCUACAGCUUCUCCAAUGCAUGCCCACAGUGCUCCCACCAACCUGCAAGCCACUUCCUCUGGUGGAAGAAAGUAAGUUAAUAGUUAAGAAUUUACAUACUUCUGAAGCUUCAUCUUAUUGCUGACAUAGUUAAGUUGAAACAUCUUCUUUUUUUCUAGUAUAUUGAAGAACCUUCAUGGUCAUACGAUGAUGAAGGUAGAGAUGUGAUGGUGUGGUUGAAGCACAAAAUUCUGAAAAGCCUAUUGCUAAGACGUACCAAAAAAGAGAGAGCUGUUGAUCUUGCACUUCCCACAAAGACUGUAAGUUCUGCUUGCACUAGUGUCGUGUGCUUCAAUUCGAUUAGAAUCUUCUUACUGGUUACUUUUUUGGGUUCAUUCAGGUUACAGUGAGAAAACAUUCUUUGGAUGAUAGAGAAUACGACUACUACAAGACACUGUGCCGUAGAAGCCAAGCACAGCUCGAUAUGUAUGCUAUCUCUCUGGUAUUUCAGUUUUGCUAUUAUUUGAACAUGCAGUGAAUUCGAGAACACUAAUUAAGCAUGAAGAAGAAAAGAUGAGAGUAUUGAGAGAGAAAUUCUUGAAUUCUUAUUGAUGUUCUGAUUGUACAAAAGAUAUACUUUCUUAUACAUUGAAUUAGAAAAAGAUUAGCUUAAUAGUACUAGUUAACUAUCUCCUAACUGUUAUCCUAACAGACUUAACUAAGUUGUGUAUUAGUUAGGUAAUUUAAGUGGACAUUGGUAAAGUCCCUAAAUAACCCCGUAACAAUUUUCAAAUUUGAGUUAUUCUUCCUUCUAGUCCACUUUGCUUGUCUACGUCUGCGCCAAUUUUCUGGGCCAUUGUUUCUCUUUUUUUGGCUGUGUAUCAUGUUUCCUACAGUUUUUUGUUCUCAAGUAGUUAUGGAACCCUUUUGAUUAGUUUCUUAGUUUUUAACUUAAGAUCUUAUACAUCUGUUUCUUCCCAUAAAAUUCUUAAUCAUUUGUGCCAUUACCUUGCCAAAAAGUAAGAAGGGAGCAAGGAUAUUUUUAUUUCUAACUGUAUCCGCAUUUUGUUUUCUGGUGCAGAUUUGUCCAGGAUGGAAAUGUGAUUAAUAAGCAUGGUCACAUAUUUGUAAUGAUCACACGCCUACGGCAGGUACCAUGAAAAUGCUCUAUAUGUGUGAAAUCUUGAACAUUCUUGAUUGUAAUGGAUUCUUGCAUUCAUCUUUUUGUUUUUGUUUUCUAAUUGACUCCCUUUCUUGCUUAAAUUUGGUGAUUCCAGUGCUAAGCUUUCUAAAUCGAUUUAUUCAUUUUUUACUGGAUCCAAUGCAGUUUAGUGCAAAUAGUAUAAUCAUGUGUUUAUCCUUUUGUCAUGCAGGUCAUUUUAUAGGUGAAAUUAGUCAUCCAGAAUCACUCUUUUUCUUUUAACUUCUUCUCGUUCUGCUCUUUCGAUUAGUCCUGAUUAAUUAAUAAUACAUUUCUUAUAUGUGCAUCAAUAUGAAUGUUCUGCAACUUUUUUUUGUAUCUUCUGUUUCAUAUCACUUUUCUGAUGUAGUUUUUGUAUAAAAAUUUUCUUGGUAUAAUUUUAUUUUCUCAAUUCUCCUUAUUAGAUGUUUGCUUAAAUUAUUUUGUCUUACUAUGGGUCAUCAGCCAAAUUUGAUUGCAGAAAAUGUCUGACCAAUAUAAUGUCUUUCUUUAAUUGGCAGGUACCUUGUGAUGUACUCUAGAAAAGAGUUGGCUAGUGGCAAUAAAGAGGCUAGAGAUGUUGAACAAUCAUGUGACUGGUGUCAUGAUGCAGUGCAAGAUCUAGAAGUGAGUUUGCGCACCUCUACCCACUCCCUCCCCCAUACCAAGAAAUAGGAAAAGAGAGAGAGAAGAAAGGAAUACCAAACAAGUUACUCAGCUGAAGUUCAAUUUUUGAUAGCUCUCUCCUUUUCUGCAUUUAUUAAAUUAUUUUUAUGCUGGUCAUUCAAGGUCCAAGAGCAUCGAGCACCUUUCAAUUGCUCAAUGCCAGCCUGACUAUUGUAUCUACACUCUUUAAAUGCCAUUUACUGUCUUUGGAGCUCGAAAACUUGUUGGAGUUCUCAUGAAGUUGUUGAGCAUUUGGGAUACUGUCUUUCUAGGGGCAUAGACAUAGAGAUUUUAUCGAAAGUACUUCUAGUAUAAACUCCUUAUACAUUAGACAGAGUCUUCUUUGAACUGUGCAUCUCUUUUUGAUUUUUGCAGGUUACUUGUUGUAGGCACGUGUUUUGCAGGGCAUGUAUGAAUUAUUUAGCUGAAGGUGUAAUGGAAGCGCCAUGCCCUUCAUGUACCAAACCCCUCACAUUUGACUUCACUGGAAAUAAAGAUAAGGGAGAUUCUAGUUCUAAACCUACUGUCAAAGAGUUUAGGUCCUCAAGUAUAUUGAACAAAAUUCAGCUUGAUAAAUUCAAGACAAGCACUAAAAUAGAAGCUUUUUUGGUAUGCAAUUGCAUUCAUCAUAUUCUCCUCAGCUUGCUUUUCUUCUUUGUCUUAUGGGUUUAUUUCAUUUUCACAAGGAGAGCAAGGGGUGUGAGCUCAUGAUCUUGUACUUGUUAGGACCGAAAUAAACAGGUGUAACGCGGAAGCUAGCAAAGCAAACCUCGAAAGACCAUGAGUAAGAAGACAAACGAGAAAUAUCCCAAAAGACACAAAGAUUUAACGUGGUUCGAUCAAUCGACCUACGUCCACAAAGGAGAUGAGCAAUCCACUAUAUAAACCUGAGAGUACAAAAUAUAGAGAGAAACAACCUCAAUCAAUUCACUCGGAAUACAUGGGAGAUUCACACAAAUGAUAACGUAUCAGGCUUGUGACCCACAAAUUCUCCCCCUAACCUAAACUCUCAAUGCCCUUAAGAUUACAUUGUGAAUGCUGAUUAAGUUAGAAGGAACAAACCUUUAUUUAUAGAGUCCUAAACCUUUUCCUACAAGAAAAGGACUAGCCAAUCCAAAACCUUUUCCUAAAAGGAAAACCUAUUUAUGAUAAGAAAUUCAGGGCAAAUAAAACCCAACAAUAUUUUCUUUCUCUGUGAACCGCUCUAAAUUCUUCAGAAAUAGCUCAUUUUUUACUUUUAUUGAAUGUAGAAGGAAGAAAUUAGCGACAUGUUUGAAAGGGACGGUUCUGCAAAAGGAAUUGUGUUUAGCCAGUUCACAUCGUUUUUGGAUCUGAUACAAUAUUCUCUUAAUGUAAGACAUAAUGGUACUUUUUCCUUCCUACAUUCUCUUCUUUCCAGACUAACAAAAAAGAAGCUUGUGUUGUGUGUAUUCAGCUGUGUGGCAUCAAUUGUGUUCAAUUAGUUGGAUCCUCUAUUGCCGCAAGAGAUGCUGCACUUAAAAGAUUCACUGAGGAUGCAAAUUGCAAGAUAUUGCUUUUGAGCUUGAAGGCUGGAGGUGUUUCCCUAAAUCUUACAGUUGCAUCACAUGUAAGGAUCUAUUUUUUUUCUCUGUGAACCGCUCUAAAUUCUCAAGGCUUGUGCAUAUCUAGUGUUGCAUUCUUCCACUCUUCAGGUUCAUUUUAUUUGGUUCAUUUGAUAUACAAUUAUGACUUGUAUUUAUCUGUUGAAUAAGCACAUGUUAUGUGGCUCAUCUCUUGAUCUUUGCUAGGUUUUCUUAAUGGAUCCUUGGUGGAAUCCUGCAGUGGAGCAGCAAGCCCAAGAUAGAGUCCAUCGAAUAGGGCAAUAUAAACCAGUCAAGUGUGUUUUGUAUUUCUUCUGCUUUGGUGACCAUUGAAUAGAGCUUAUUGUUGUUUUCGAAUUUGCAGGAUUGUGAGAUUUGUGAUGGAGAAUACAAUUGAAGAGUGAAUCUUAGAAUUACAAGAGAAGAAGAAAUUACUUUUUGAAGGGCAAGUGUGUUUUUCUUAUAGUCGUCUACAUAGUAUCAUAUAUGUUCUGACAAAAAUAAAGUAUUUUGAUGAUUUUCCUUUGCAUGUUGUUAUUGUCAAUCUUUUGUUAGAUUCCUUCUUUGCUCCCUUCCUCCGCUCUUUCUCUUGAGAACCAUUUUUCGCUAACUGUUUGUUUUUCCUCUGAUUACAGGACAAUUGGUGGUUCUUCAGAGGCCUUAGGGAAACUAACAACUGAGGACUUGAUAUCCCUGUUUUAUUAUCACUUUUGAUUUGUUCUAUUUCUUCGGUUUGGCAAACCAAUUGACAUGUGCUUUGUUCAGCUUCUAGCAAAAUUUUGUACAAAGUGUUCUGACAUUUGCUUUUAUGUUGCAUGGAGUUUGAUCUGUCCAAAGAGUGUUUCUGUUGCUUCUGCAUCUUAAUUGAUAUGAAUCACCUUCAACAGUCAUUAGCUUCAUCAAUUGUUUUAUUAUUUCCUUCCAUUUUAGCUUCACUUUCAUGAUAAAAAGUGCAUCAGAAUCCAUACCCUCAAGGCAAGGUCAUGGAAAUGUGCAUCCUUGCAAAAACAUUGGCAUAUGAAGCUCAUGGGCAGAGACAGAAUUCUAGUCUGAAUCAUCCAUUUAUCUCUUUUGUUUCUUUUUGCUUGUCAAUGUAUGAAUUGCAUAGAGAAAGCCAUUUGGGAGUUCAAAGAAAUAGCAAAUUUACUUGAAAGGUUAUUUAAUGAUGACUAGUUGUGAUUAGGCAAUAUACUGCUGCAAUGUAUCCAUACGUUAAUAAGAUAGCCAUUGGUAAUGCACCUUUAUCUAUUGGUGUUACUAUGGUUUGUAUUCAUGAACGAUCAGCCCGUGAGAAGAUUCACACAAAUAGUGUUGCUCGUAUAAUUAAUGAUGAGACAACGAGGAAGUGUCUGCAUUCAGUUAAAAGACUGGUGACAUUCUGCCAACAACGCUAUCCAACGAUGAGAUCCAAAUAUGUGGCUUCCAAUAAUGCCUAUGCCUGCCCAAGGAACUCUGUUUAUUCUGUAUGUUGAUUUCCCCUUGCUGCAGUCUAAAACGGUAUCUUUUUUCUCCUUGAAGUUGAAAUGACUUCAAAUUUCUUUUAUUAACUUCUUUUACUUCUUUUUUCUAUUGAAAUAAUAUAAAAGACUUGCAAAGGCAAUUUGAUGAAGUUGACAUGAAAAAGUUUGUUCAUAUAUAUAGUUGUUAUACCAUUUGCAUCGGGACUUAAAUUAACUCUACUUGCUGCACUGCAUUAAUAGGCAAUAAUAACCUCAAUUGGAACAAACUUGAGUGUUAUAUUCUAAAGUUCUGAUGAUUUAACAAACAAUGAGAUCUGGUAGGGGACUUGAUCCCAUGAGCGACUGAAGUUCCAGACAGACCUUAGAGGACAGUGGUAAAGUUGUCACAACUGCAGUUAGGGGUGUCGAAUGGGCGGCUUGGGUUGAAAUUGAAGAUAUUAAAUGGGUUGAAAUAGAAAUCGGGUUGGAUCUUGACCCGCCCAAGUUUACUUUGGGCUCAAAUAGGCUAAAAAACGGAUUGGGUCUUGACCCGCCCAAUUUGACCCACUUAAUCUCAAUAAUUUUAACAUAGUGAUAUUUAACUUUUAUAAUCACAAUUUAAAUUUCAACUCAAGAAUUUUUUCUUUAAAAAAAGUAACAAAUGGAUAGAUAAAUCCUAAAAGAUAUUAAAUAGAUAAUAACUCAUACCUUCAAUAUAGGAACAUAUCUUAAUAAAGAGUUUUAAAACGGGUUGAAAUUGGAGAUUGAAUUGGGCUCAAUUGAGGAUUCUCUUAAAAUGGGUCAGGCUUGAAUGUGUUGAGAUUGAACCCAAUUCAAAUUAUCUUGAACCCAACCCUUAAAAUUCUGGACGGGUUGCCUAUGUUUGAGUUCAUUUUUGACACCCCCUAACUGCAGUGGUUGGUGAGAACAGUAACACAGGAGCAGAGCCCUCAACCAAUGGCAUUGCACUAGGUUGUUUUGUCCAUCUUAUAUUUGUCAUAUUGACAAGAAACAACCUGGUUUUUGCAAUCAAGUUUUUAACCAAAGCAAAAGCCAUUCUUCUCUCAAGGCAGGUAUUCUCAUACGCAGCAAGGGACAUGAUCGAGUGAUUAAGUGUAGUCUUUAGUUGUUAUGUGAGGUUAAUGUCUUGUAUUCAAAAAGUGUAAGAUCUAUUCAUAUGCUAUAAAUGAAUUUAGAUCAUUUCAGUUGCAAUCAUCGUCAAGUCGAGUUUGUAGCUAGAGUUAGUUGUGUCAAGUUCUUUUUGAAGUCUAUAUCAACUAGGUUUAGUUGGUGUAGUGGGCAAUAGAUUCAUUGCUUUUUGUCUUGUAAUAGAGGUGUUACAAGGAGGAAGGGAUUAAGACUUUAAUUCCUAGGUUACAAGAGUUAUUAAUGAAGUUGUCGCUAAAAUCCUAUGAGAUAGGUCGUGCUUUUUUCCUCCCUGAGCAAGAAAGUUUCCACAUAAACAUCCUUUGUGCUUUACUUUACACAUUACUUUCUGCAUCGUCUGUGUUUGUGUUAUUAAGGGACCUGGUCAGUUACGUUGUGGUGGACUCAUAAAAGCCAUCAAUGAGAUUUUACAAUUUAUUGAGCAAAUGCGUUUAAUUACGCUUAAAUACGUAAUAGAUAUUUAAAAAUACACCCGAAAGAUUUUCCAUAAUUUGUAUAGAAAGCGUCUAAUAAGAACACUUUAUUAUGUGUUAUGUGCUCAAUUGAAACAAGUCACAACUCAUGUGUCUAUAAAUGAAGUAUACUUCAAGUUUAAGGGGAUCUCAAUGUAAAAAGCCAAACAAAAACUAAUCAAAAGAGGCUAAUAAGCUAAUCAAGGGAAAACAAGAUCCUGACCUAGCACAUUACCAACCCCUUUCCAAACCGUCCACACUGAUUUUACGCCCCUAUUAUUCUUAUUCAGGCAAUUCAGCGAACAUCUAACCUGCAUAGAACUUUGUGUUUGUGUUCACAUGCCAUCAUGUUGGAUAAUAGAAUUUGGGGAAAUCUUUUUCUUCCCAUAGAAUUCUCAAUCAUUUGAGUCAUUACCUCGCCUGCAUAAAGUACGGAAGAGGAUAUUUCUCCUAUUACUGUCAAAUUCCUUAUCGGAACUCCAUAUUGAAAUGUUAAUUAAUGCUUUGAAUAGUUGGUGUAAUUGUCUAAUUGAAUUGAUAAUUCUUCAUGUAUCUGAAUGAAGAGGUUACAGAUUCAGAUGAUAGACACCAUGCCAUGUUCAGAAGGAUAGAUUUGAUAACCACCUCAAAGGUGAAGAAGAGAUGUGUUGUCAUUGUUGAAGCAUGAAAGAAAGACUAGUUGGGAUAGUAAGAUGACCGAGGAAUUUGUUCCUACACACCUUAUAAAUGCGACUAGCAAAACAGAAUCACAUGACAAUGUCAACAAGAUCCAAUAAACCAAAGAAAAAGUGAUAGUGAUGAACUAUCGAGAGCUAUUGGACAGAUUUGAAAAAGAAGAUGAGAAAAAUACUCCAAGUUACUUUACCGGACCAUUCUAUCGUUUUUUAGUUCAUUCAUUUGUAAAGGAAGUUUGAGCCUUUCUUCUUUUGAAUUUUAUAAUUUUGCAUUGAGAAAUACAUAAAACUCCACCUAAACUUGGCAGCACGGGAAUUUAAAUAUCCCUUAACAUCUUUGAAGUGAAUUAAAUACAACCCUAAGAAUAGAAUACCACUUUCACCUGCCACAUCAUACCAUAUAAGUACCACAUCACAACCAUGUAAGCACCACAUCAUUAAUUUUUGUCAAAAUCAAUCCAGCUCAAUGUUGAGCUUCAAUGGAGUAGUCGACUCCAUUGUUGAAGGAAUGAAGAAGCAAUUUGAAAAAUGAAAACUGUAUAUUGAAUUAUCUACCACAAGUAAGGUUUAUAUAUGUCAUGUAGUAUGAAGUUCAUUCUGUAACUGCUCCUAACAAACUAACAACUUUCUAACCUACUAAUCACAUUUCACAUUAGCUGACUAUAUAGAAUACAUAAUUAGCUACUUUAAGCUAAAGCUACUAUAAUACUACUCCAACUACUUUAAUACUACUCUAAUACUUCAAUACCCCCCCCCCCUCAAGUUGGAAGGGAGGAACGGACUGCCAACUUGCGGAGAAUGGAUAGAUGAGACACCCCUGUGAGGGCUUUAGUGAGAAUAUCUGCCAGUUGAUUCACAGUGGUAACAUGACGCAAUGCAAUGAGACCUUCCUGCAGCUUGGUCCUAACAAAAUGACAGUCAACCUCUAUAUGUUUAGUUCGCUCAUGGAGUACUGGAUUUCUAGCAAUGUGAAGAGCAGACUGGCUGUCACAGAAAACAUCAAUGGGAGAAGGAAAUGAAAUAUUAAGCUCUUCAAAUAACCUGCUCAACCAUACUAAUUCACCCACCACUUUUCUAAGAGAUCUAUACUCAGCCUCUGCUGAAGACAAGGACACAGUUUCUUGCUUCUUUGAUUUCCAGCUUACAGGGUUGUCUCCUAGAAGAACAAUAUACCCAGUGACGGAUUUUUUGGAAUCAGGGCAAGCAGCCCAGUCUGAGUCACAAUAAACUCUAACUCUGCAGUCACUAUUUUUCGACAUAAAAAUACCAAGGGUAAGGUCCAUUUUUAGAUAUCUAAGUAGGUGAAUAGCAGCUUGAAGAUGAGGCUCUCUUAGAUCUUGCAUGAAUUGACUAAGGUGCUGAACACUAUAGGUAAUGUCCAGUCUGGUAUUUGUGAGGAAGUUCAACUUCCUAAUCAACUUUCUGUAAUAAGAGGGAUUAGGAAGAGGAGGACCUUCUUUUGCUUUAAGUUUGACAUUUGGAUCAAGUGGAGGGGACAAACAUGUGUAGUCAACCAGAUCAUAUUCUUUAAGUAAGUCCAAUGCAAACUUCCUUUGUGAAAUGAGGACACCAUCAGUAGUAUAUAGGAUUUCCAUGCCCAAGAAGUAAUUCAACUUCCCCAAAUCUUUGAUCUUAAAAGGUUGCAUGGAGGAAAGACUUCAAGUUCUCUAUUUCCAAAGAAUGUCACGCCCCGAGCCUAUACCCUGGACGUGGCCGACACUCAAAGACCAUUGAUGGCCCCAAGCGAACCUUUGGCCUGACUUUCUUAACUCAGCGGAAACCUAACUCAACAGAAUAACUCCAUGCAAUGCAAGGACAUAAAACAACUUAACUAAUAAAAUCUGGCCUAAAAGGCAACUCGAGUCCCAAAAUAGAAUAUUUACAUAUAUAAAUAGAUGAGAGACUCAAAACUAACUAACUGACUGACUGACUGUCUAUGAAGCCUCUAAAAUACUGAGAUGGAUGUUGGGACAGACCCCGGAACAUCUUAACAAAACAAAACUAAGAGAACAAAAUAACUGAGUCUUCCGUAAUGCAAAGAGGCUCACCACUGACUCUGGAGUGCUCAGCUGGAUCAACGGCAUGCCGGAUGUUGAUCCUGGGUACCUGUGUCUGCAUCGUCAUAAGAUGCAGGCCAACUGGCAUCAGUACAUUGAAUGUACGAGUAUGCGAGCUGGAAAACUAAGCAACAUAGGCUAGAAGGAAAUCUGGAAGAAACUGAAUAGCUUACCUGGCUCAACUCAACUCAACCUGACUGACUUUUUUCAAUAUAAGGCAAUUUAAAACAAGUGCAAUAUAAAGAAAAGUUGUUUAAAACAUGUUANNNNNNNNNNNNNNAACCAUCACAUGGAGCUAUAGUGAUGAUACAGCGAUCAACCUCACGCUGCCAGAGCAUCCUAUUCCCGGCCAAAGGUAUAGGACCUGAACUGCCUAAUGGAUCCACUAGUCUAAUUUGAAAAGGAUUCAUUUAAACAGUAUGAAUCUCUUCUACCCAUGAUGGCUACAUGGUUCAGUGGGGGCUGUGGGUUCUUUGAACGCUCCCCUAACUCGGUGCUCAAUACUACUCCCAAAAAUGUACUGACUCUUAUGUUUUUAAAACAUUUUCUUCCUGCUGAUUUGAGAUAAUUACUCAAAACUUAGCUCAAAGGCUAUCUUGGAAAUCUCAAUUUCCUCUCUUGCUUCAUUUAGAAAACGACAACUCUUCUUCUGGAAAACUAGCCCAAAGGCUCUUUGGAAAUCUCAGUUUCCACUUUUGUUUAAAUGUGAAAACAUUUCUUUAAAACUUCUUCGGGAAUACAUAGUUCCCUAAUAACUUUAUGAGAAAUAAACUCAACUUUAUACUAUUGGCUUAACUUGAAACUCUUUACUUAACUUGAAACUCGAGCCUUAAAAUGAAGUUGAAGCAUUCAAUAAAGACUCUUGAACAACUUUAAAGACUUGUUUCUUAACUUCUAAGUUUGACUUUAACUUCACUUGACUUUGAUCCAAACUUUCCUCGAAUUGGAUUAUGAAUUCAAGGUAUAUGAUCACAUGUUUAUGGAUGAGUUCUUGACGUUUAGACGUACCUUGGAGUGUUGAAAACAACUAUAAAACAUAGGUACAUUACCAAGGAACAUGCAUGAGAAAGUGGGGAAGGAAUGGGAAAGGUUGGUAUCCUUGGCGCUCUGAGAGGCGCAGGGCGCCAGCCCUCAAACUUCAGAGGGGCCUGGUUGGGGCUCUGCUAGGGUCGCCGCCCCAAGGGCUGGACUUCAGAGUCCCUUUUGGGGGGCGCUGGCUGGCGUGACACCCCAACCCUUUUCCCCGAAAGUUUGAAUUUUCUCCUUUAUUUUUCCAACUCUAAACCACCUUAACUUCAAAGGUUCUAGCCCCAAACACUUAAUAUCAUAAAACCCCUCAACAUACAAUAGAUUUAACUCGGAAACACAACCGGAAACAUGCCCAAAAUCAACAAGAACUUCAACACAAUCACAACUAACAACUUCAACAAAACACAAUCAAUCUUUUCUCGAAAUUAAAAUGAGUUUGGCGUGUGGGGGAAAGAACCAACCCAACACUAUGAUCUCACAUACCUAGUAGGGAUCACCCCUGACGAUAUCCACGACGAUCUUUGACGAAACCUUGCUUGAUCUUCUCUUUCUCCUCUUCUUCUCCUCUUCACUCACAAACCCUUACUCUCACUCUUUUUAAAAAGGGAAAACUGAUCUAAAAAUCAGUCUAAACCCUUAAUAUAACCAAAACAAUUGAUUAGGGAAAAGACCAAAAUACCCUUAAAAUUUCCGGACGAACUUCCCCUGCCAACUACCCAACUUUCAAAUGGCAUAACUCACUCAUACGAACUCGGAAUCAAGAAAACUCGGUGGCGUUGGAAAGACCAUUCCAUGAAAUUUGCAAACAUAACUGGAACUACACCUAACUCAUCCUAAGCUAGGAGUUAUAAUUGUUCAAGGUUGGCCAAAAACUCACUUUUUCCCAUACUUAACCAAAUUUUCCAAAUUUUUUUAAAUUCUUUCCAAAAAUGACUAUUUCCAAUUUUAAGCAUCUUCAUAGUUAUUUCAAAUUGCCGGAUGUUACAAAGAAUCUGUUCCAGUAAUGAUUACAUCAUCUACAUAUACAACUACAAAAAUGGUAGAAGAAUUGGUCUUCAUAUGGAAGAGAGAGUAGUCAUUUUCUGACUGUACAUAACCUUGGAUUGAAAGUGCCUCUACCAACUUUGCAUAUCACUGCCUGUUGGCUUGCUUCAACCCAUAAAGAGAUUUUUUUAACCUACAUACCAAUCCUGGUUUAUCAAGAGCAAGACCCUGAGGUGCCUCCAUGUAAACUUCCUCGUGCAAAUCUCCAUGGAGAAAAAUAUUGUUUACAUCUAAUUGAAAAAUAUAUCAGCCUCUCUUUAUAGCACUAGCAAUCAAUGAUUUAACAGUAGUCAUCUUGACAACAGGGGGAAAAGUAUUUGUAUAAUCUACUCCCGCUCUCUGAGUAUAGCCUUUGACAACUAAUCUGGCUUUAAACCUCUCAAUGCUAUCAUCAGCCUUGUGCUUUACUUUGUAAACCCAUUUGCAUCCUAUGGCUUUCUUCCCUUCAGGUAAAGGAACCAGAUCCCAUGUAUGGUUGGCAUGUAAUGCUUCAUAUUCUUGUGUCAUGGUUGUUUGCCAUACAGGAUUGAGAAUGGCCUCCUUAAAUGAUGAUGGUUCACUAUCAUUGCAAACAUUGUUAACCAAUUGCUGACUAGUUAAUGCUAGGACAUCAGGAGCAAUGUGACUAUGUCUACAAAAUAGUGAACUUAGGGAUAAUGGUGUGGAACAAGUUGUUGCUUUGGGUGUAGGACAGACAUAAUCUUGUAGGUAGGUAGGUACUUUGUGGGUUUUAAUAGAUCUCUUUUGAGGUUGAGGAGGUUGUGUUUCAUGUGCACUAUCAGUGUGGGAGUAAAGAGGUGUAAUGGUGGCAAGACCAAAAUUUAAGGUUGCAACACUAGUGUUCCCUUGAUUAUCAUAGACAGGUGUAGUACUAGGUAACACAUCAUCAAUGACUACAUCUGUUGAUUGUGCAGAUUUGGACACAAAUUUAGAAACAACAUGAAAGGAAGACCCCUUUGGAGACAAACUAAAAGGAAACACAUGCUCAUGAAACAUAACAUCUCUAGAAAUAUGCAGUUUUUUUGUGGCUGGGCUUUAUACCUUGUAGCCUUUUGUUGCAAAUGGAUAUCCAAUGAAGAUGUGUUGUGUGGUUUUGGGGUCAAACUUAUCUCUGUGAACCUUAGGUAUAGUAGGAUAACAGAGACAGCCAAAAGCUCUCAAUUCAGAAUAAUGUGGUUUCUUAUUGUGAAGGAUUUCAAAUGGACAUUUGUUUUUCAGGGAAGUGGUGGGUAGUCUAUUUAUGAUGUGUGUUGCUGUUAAGAUGCAUUCUCCCCAAUAUUUUAGGGGUAUUUUUUAUUGAAACAUCAAUGCCCUAGCAGUCUCAAGAAGGUAUUUGUGUUUUCUCUCAACAAUGCCAUUUUGUUGGGGUGUAUAAGGGCAUGUUUUCUGAUGAAUUAUUCCUUUGGCUUAAAAGUAUUUUGUGGCUUCAGUGUUGGAAAAUUCCAGGCCAUUAUCAAACCUAACAGAUUGAAUAGUAGUCUUAAAUUGGGUUUCAAUAAGAGAAAUGAAUGUUUUGAUAGCUUGUAGGGCAUUGCUUUUGCAGCUUAAUAAAUGUGUCCAAGUAGACCUGCUAAAGUCAUCCACUAUGGUAAGGAAAUAUUUGUAAUUGUCAUGUGUUGGAGUAUGAUAAGGCCCCCAAUGGUCAAUGUGAAGUAGUUCAAAGAUUUUGGUAGUUUCAGUGGUUCUGGUGGGGAAUAGAAGCCUAUUUUGUUUGGCCAUAGGGCAUAUAGUGCACAUGAAAGGUUGUUUUGAAGAAAAUUGUACAGGGAUAGAGGAUAUACUCUGCAUUUUAACAAAAGGAACAUGUCCAAGCCUAUUGUGCCAUAACAAGUCUACAUUACUUUCAUUAGAUGAGUAAGGAAGAGCAGACUGAAGGAAAACACCUUCAUCACAUGCAGUUUGAAAAGAAACAUUCUUAUUACAAGGAAGUAAAAAUGAGUUGUCUACAACUGAAUGCAAAGAUGGUGAAUUAGAAAGACAAGAACUAGAACUGUAACUUGAACUACAAAUUCAAUUACAAGAGGAAAUGGGAUCUGUCUUAGAAUUGACCCUAUUGCUCUUCAAGCACUUUGAACACAGGUAAUACAGUCCAUCUCUGCUACUACCAAUCUCCUGAGGCCUCUUCAUUGAAGGGGCCUACAAUACGCAGGAAGAAUUAGUAAAUAACACAAUGGAAUUGAGUUGAACAUUUAAAGAGUGAAUGGAAACUAGAUUGUAUCUGAAAGAGGGAACAUACAACACCGUAUGUAUGAUAAUCUCAGGGGUAAGUGUUACUUCACCAAACUCUUGUACCUUAACCUUAUAACCAUUUGGAAGACUGAUAAGUAUUAGGUAUGGUAGUGUUUUUAUAUUGGUCAAAGAGGCUUUAUUAAAGGUCAUGUGGUUGGAAGCUCCUGAAUCUAGAAUCCACUGGUCAUCUUUUGAUUCAUAACAUUUGCAAGAUGGCUUACUAAAAUCAAUUGAAGAAGUGCAGAUUACAAUACCUGCAAAGUUUGCAGCUCCAUGAGUGUUGUCUGAAUCAGCAUUGCAUUGAAAUUGUCUCAAUAAAUGCAUCAUUUGUCCAUAUUCCUCUUUGGUUAGACUAACAUUUUGAUCCUCAUUCUGGAUGGCCAGGCCUUUCCCUUUAUCUGAUACAUCAACAGCAGGUUGUCCAUGCACAUUUGCCACUUUUCCUUUCCCUUUAUUGGACCUGUAGGGCUGUUGUUGGUUAUGACCCUGACUACUGUUGUAGUUCUGGUAAUUAUUACUAGUAUUAGGUGUGUUGGUGGCAUUUGGAUACCUAUGCAGUUUAUAGCACUUAUCUUUCGUGUGCCCUGUUUUCUUACAGUACUCACACAUAGGCCUUUUUGUAGAGUAAUUUCCAGAUGUACUACCAGAUGCAUAAUUGGGCCUCGGAGGACAGUUGCUGGGGGAAUAAUUUGUCUUGAAGGCUCUUGAAGAAGAACCUCCAGAUGAGCUUGCAUUAAGAGAGGUGGACUCCAUAAAGAGUUGAUUAUUUUGUUUAAACUCACGUUGUUUCUCUUCCUGGAUCAGUAUCGAAAAUGCCUGCGCCAUGCUUGGCAAUGGAGUCAUCAUGAGAAUAUUCCCCCUCACCACAGUGUACACUUCAUUGAGUCCCAUGAGGAAAUGAAUCAAUCUCCGAGAUUGUUCUGCCUUAUGUGAGUUAUCUUUUGCACCACAAGUGCAAGUACAUGUACAUUGCCCUUGAGCAUUUAGAGUGCACAACUCUUCCCAUAACUUUUUCAACCUAGUAUAGUAAGUAGUGAUAUCGAGAUUUCCUUGAGCUAUGUCGUUAAUUUCCUUUUGUAUUUGGUAUAGCUUCGCACCAUUGAUUUGAUCAUAUCGAUCUUCUAACUCCUUCCAGAGUUCUACCAAACUAUUAAUGUAUUCAACACUAUCUGCAAUUUCCUUAGUAAGAGAGUUAAGGAUCCAAGAAGUUACCAUAUCGUCGCACCUCUCCCAUUGUCGCAGUUGAGGUGAGGUUGGCCCUGGUUUCACACAUUCUCCGGUGAUGAAGCCAACUUUGUUCUUCACAGAUAGAGAUUGCAGGACACCUCUUCUCCAUGAUCGAUACCCAAUUCCAUCAAAUGGAGUUGGUACUAGCAUUGCACCGGGAUUAUCUGAGGGAUGCACAUAGAGUGGACUGGUUGUGUCAACCGUUGGUUGUCCAGCUAAACCCAAAGGAACAACACCGACAUUUUCAGUUUGAUCUCCCAUGGUGGAAAACAAAGGAAUAUUGAGAGGAGAGAUCAAUCAAACAGAUGAGAGAUCGAUAGAAUAAUCGAAUAAUCGGUUUCAGAUCAAAUACGAACUCGUAGAGAAUCACUGCGAAAAAGGUAAUUCAGAAGAAGAAGAAAAAGAAGGAACGAGGAUGAGACGACAAAAUUGCGGAAUUUAGCCGUGAGGCUCUGAUGCCAUGUCAAAAUCAAUCCAGCUCAAUGUUGAGCUUCAAUGGAGUAGUCGACUCCAUUGUUGAAGGAAUGAAGAAGCAAUUUAAAAAAUGAAAACUGUAUAUUGAAUUAUCUACAACAAGUAAGGUUUAUAUAUGUACAUGUAGUAUGAAGCUGAUUCUGUAACUGCUCCUAACAAACUAACAACUUUCUAACCAACUAAUCACAUUUCACAUUAGCUGACUAUACAAAAUACAUAAUUAGCUACUUUAAGCUACAACUACUCUAAUACUACUCCAACUACUUUAAUACUACUCUAAUACUUCAAUAAUUUUCAAUUUAUUACACUAAUCAAUUAAUUAAAAAUACAUUUUAAAAUCAAAAUUGCCCAUCUUCUUCCACCCCUUCUCUUCUACCCUCCCCCCCCCCCCCCCCCCCCUAUCCCUCUUUCUUCUUUCUUGAUUUUCACCAUUUUCAAUCUUCACUAGCUUCUUUUUCCCCCCAAAUUUACAGCCUUCAAUAGUAGUUUUCUUCUUCAACAUUCAUCAACUUUUUUUAAAAAAAAAUAGCAUACUUACUCUUUCUUCUUCGAACCCUCUCUCUCCCACAAAUCUGUCCCUUGAAGAAUAAUAUUUUUGUAAGUUAUUUUUUUCUUAACAUCUCAAAUGAAAAAUGAAGGUUGUGUAAGAAAGUUGAUAGACUCAUAUUUUUUGCAUCACAACUAUUAGAAAAUUCAAAAUUGGUUACUUAAAAUUCAAGAAAGUUUACAUUCAAUAAUAUGAAUUAGGUGUUGGGUUUUGUGAUUAGUGAAGGGCGGGUGAGGUGAGGUGAGGGAUGAAGAUGAAGGAAAAAUUUUAAUAUGGAAGAAGAAAAGUAUAAGGAGUGUUUCAUUGGGGAAGAAGACAUUUGGGGAAGACAACAAAAUAAAGAGAGAACAAAAAGAUUAAAUAUUUUUUUAAAAAAAAAAUUGAACACACAAAUUUCAUUUACUUGUAAACAAGAAAUUUCACAUUUUUUUUAACUUAGUUAUAUAUUGGCCAAUAAAAAAAUGUUAUGUGUAUGAUUUUACCUUUCAGUUUUAUUAUUUUUAUUAUUUCAUGUGCUUUGAGGAGAGUGAAUACACUCACUUUGCCACAUUAGCUCUUAGGGUGAUAUUUAAUCUUGUUAAGGGGGUAUUUAAACGUCUGUAUAGUUAAUGAUGACACCCAAUUUUGGACCUCCAUAAUAUAGAUUAAUCAUCGAGAUUUUUUUUAAAAUUUCAAACAAUUUCAAAUAAUUAGUUUUAGGAAAUAAACUAAUAAUAAAUAAAAUAGAAUAAAAGUCUUUUCAAGUCAUUUUAAAUAGUUUAACACUUAUUUAUAAUUUUUAAAUAAUAUAUGUGUUACGUAUGUAAUUGGUACAUUUUUUAUAAGUAUUCGAAAAUGGUCUCAAAAAGAUUUUAGUUUUACUUAAAUACUCUAUUAAAUUAAUUUUGUCUAAAUUAGUAGUUUAUAUUUUGAGUCAUUAGUUCAUUAGGUUAAUUAUUUUGUUUCGUUAAAAUUAAGAAGUUCGUUAAUUAGUUAUAUUUAUUCAUUUCAUUUUAACUCUAGCCGAAUUAACUAAUUACCUCAAUUUGGUCGAAAUUGCAAUUAAUGUGGCUAUGCGCUUGAGUCAAGAAAUUGACCCACAUCUUGGCCCAUUUUUUCCAAUUUCCGUUCACCCUUCCAACAACCCAACACCUCAAACACAUUUCCAAAUUACACAGCCCAUUCCAAUUUAAUUCAACUGACCCAACCCAAUAAUCCCCUCAACCCGGCCCAAAUCCAUUUCUCCUUCACAAAAAGAACCCAGAUUUCCAGAACGUCUCCAGUAGCUCAAACAAAAUGAGCCCUGCAUCCUUUUUCUUCUUCACCAACACUUGAAUGCACUGCAAAAUCCAGAAACGUCAACAACAGCAGCCCUCACCAAACCGUUCCAGCAGCUCCCACAGCCUUUCUCUGCAACAACCGCCCACCUUGGUCUAGUCAUCCGGAUUUUAGGGGAUUUUGGUUGAAAUCUUGUACCAAGAACAACUUUUCCCCUUCCUUUGGGGAGGAAAAUUUGAAUUGCGAGUUUGAGCUUUAAAUUCCUAUUCUACCCUUUUCCCACUCGAUUUUUCCAGAUUUUCCCUUCUAUAUAUAUCCCCUCAUUCUUCACUGUCAAGGGAGGAAGGAGGAGAAGAAUUACUGACUGAAUAUUAAGGAAUAAGGUUUCUAUUUUUUUUUCUGUCGGAAUCCAUCGGAGCUUUGUCGGAGCUCAUCAGAAUUUCGCUUGUGGUGGUGUAAAGCUUCACGGUAAAGCUCUUAGUCCCAGAACACUGCCCCAAGAAAGGUAACCUCAUCUCCUGUUGUAUUUUGUUCCCAUGUAGUGUGUUGUAUGUUCCAUGCUUUUGUGUAGAAUCUACUGUUACAUGUAUUUAUUUAUCUUUGUUUAGUGUUUUCGUUAGCGUUGCCCUUUUCUGCAAAUUUCUGGGAUGCAAUAUGUUUCUCGUUGAUUGAAGUUUCGUCGGCAUUGUGUAGAUAGAGUAGUUGGCUCGAUGUUGUAUGUGCUUAGUCGGCCAAGUCUCUGCUUCAUUUUGUUUGAUUUGAUCUGUGGUUCAUCUGAUUUAAAUUCCGAUGUGUUAGCCUUAUAGUUUUCUUUUUUCUUAUUGUUUACUAGUUGUUUUAGUUUUCCAUUCUGACGUUGAUUCAUCGUUGUAGAUCCUCACUAAUGCUAGCCUAGUUUCAUAGCAUCUAUCUAUGUCCCCGCUUGACUCGAACACCAUCCGUGUCCUUUUGUGUUUCAGUUCAUUAUGUCAAAUUUGUAAUUCACCUUAGUCGAGCUUUAACAUGGUUCAUAUGCUUGAAGUUGGGUUUUUUUCUAAAUAUGUGUCUUGCCUUCCAAUUUUUUAUUUUAUUUUUUUUUUGUCUUCGAAAUGGGGUUGCAAAAAAUCUAAUCGUUGUCUUUCUUUUUUAAGUGUAGCUCUAUUUUGUUUUUUUUUUUUGCUAGUCACUAGUCAAAAUUUGAAAUUUUAUUCAAAAUUGCAGUUGUUCUUCUUUUAAGUAUUUACUUUCAUGUUAAUAUGCUUCUUCAUAAUCUGAGACGCGUGAUAGUAUCGUGUGAAUCUAUUCUCGUGUUGGUUUAAGUUAACAGUGUGUUUUGGCAUGAUCUUUUCAUGCUUCCUACGAUUUAGCCAUCAUAUAGGUCUGUCUGAUGAGCAUGAAUGCUACCCGAAUGCUAGUUGAAAUGCUAUUUGAUAUCAUAUUCGUACUUUCAAUUUUAUUCUCAUACAGUCUUGAAUUUGUGACUUGUAUUAAAAAUGAUCAAAGAUUAUUGUAUACAUAUACAUUGAUAAUACAAGUUGAUAGUGUCUGUUACACCUUUAUAUCAUUGUAAGAUCUCUUUCUCACUUGCUAGAAUAAAUACUAAGCAUUAUGUGCUGCUCGUAUGAAUUUUGGUAUUGCUAUUUGUUUUAACUCAGCUUGUCGAACACACAGAUAGAUUGAGCUCUUGGUUCUCGAUGUGUUUAAUUAGUAAUAUGUCUUUUAUCUGUAUAUUAUUACAGCAAAGCAUAAUUAUUGUCCAUUUCAUAAGAAGACAUCUUUAACUCUAGUUAGUUUCUUUUAAAAAUAAAAAAUCAGUAAGCAUGUUAGUAAACUUAACCAUAUUAAUUCUUCAUUUGCCUACUUGCAUGUUCAGUUAUUAAUUACUUUAAGUUUUUUGACUAACCUUGGCAUAAGAUCUUGUCACCUCUCUCGUCAUCACUCUCCUCUACUAUGUUAUUUCAUGCUUUGAAUAUUAUGAUCAUGAUUUGUUAGCUUUUAUGUUUGAAUUGGUGUGCAUAUUGUGGCUUAUGUUUACGCUUUGUUAGAAAUCAGUAACUACUUAAGUGUUAUAUGCGGUCAAGUAUUUUCAGUCUAAUUCUCCUCCUUUACUUUGUUUACAUGUGACAAUGGCCAAGUCUAUUUGACUCUAAUCCUUGCAUUUCCGAGUUGAGCCAUAAAGGCUUGAUCUUUGCUUUCCCUGUUAAUCAAGUCAGUCCCAUUAUAUUCGGAAGCUGUUACAGGUUCCAGAGCUCCAACAUGCUGCUGGAAAUUAGUCCAGAAGCCUAAGAAAUGGGCUAUAUACAUAUCGUAUACAUCAGUAUACAGCUGUAUACACUGAUAUACGGGUCAAAAACACAAAAACACAGAGCUAAGGAGAAAUACAGGUGUUUGGAAGCAAGAGAUACAUGAAAAGGGCCAAGAAACGAUCAAUAUACACCGAUAUACAGCUGGUGUAUACCAAAAACGGGAUUGAGUAAAUUCCCCAGAAAUUGCAGCGAAAUUGGCCCAAAAAGGAGGCCCAAAUUCAAUUUCUCCUUUACCUAACUUAUUUAAUUGUGUGAUUAUUUAUUUAUUUGUUUUUUUUAAAUUUGCGACUUUAAUUUAAUUUAAAUUCCCCAAAAGAUAAAACCAUAUUCUUUAUGUUAGUUCUUUAAAAUAAUUCAUUUUUAUCAACGUCUUAUGCUUAUUCAAAUAUUUUUAGUCAAAACUUUCACUUAUCUUUAAUUAGAUUAAAAUAAUUUCUUGGUUUGUCUAUCAAGCUGGUUCGAAUUAUUAUUUCUAAAAAAAAUGACGUAAAUAAAUUUUAAUUAAUCUAAUUUUGUUAAAAUCCUAAUUGACCAAGUUGUUUCAAGAUUUUCUAAAAAAUUAAGAAUGAUUCUUUAUUUAACUAUUUUUAUCAAAGUUAAUCGGAUAUCGUAAAAUAUUAUAUAUUUUAUGUUAAAUCAUUUUCCUAAUUUUUUUUUUAAAAGAUAUGUUAUUUAAGGGUCUUCUUCAUUUAAAUCACUUUUUUCACUCAUUUCAAAAUUGUUCUAAGUUAAAGUAUUUUUUAUUUAUUUUAUUUUAUUUUAUUUUUAAAAAAUAAACUUUAAAAAAUGUUAGUCAAAACCUUUUCAAUCGAUUAAUAAUAAUAAUAAUAAUAAUAAUACUUAUUUAAGUCAUUUUCUCAAAAAAGGUUAGUCAAUUAAAAAGAAAUGGUUUUCAUGUUUUAAUUUAUUAAAUUGUUUUAAAAUGAAUUAAAUAAAUUCUAAUUAAUCUAGUUUUAUUAAUAUUCCAAUCACUUGUAUUUCGAGUUGAAUGUAUCAUUUUAGAUCCCUUUCUCUAAAAAAAUAAAAAUGAAAUAAAAUGCGUCAUUUAUUUAAUUAUUUUCUUAAUCAAAUAUAUUAUAAGUUNNNNNNNNNNNNNNNNNNNNNNNNNNNNNNNNNNNNNNNNNNNNNNNNNNNNNNNNNNNNNNNNNNNNNNNNNNNNNNNNNNNNNNNNNNNNNNNNNNNNNUUUUAUUAAAAUUCUAAUGACUUGUAUUUCGAGUCAAAUGUUCUAUUUUGGAUCUUUUUCUCUAAAAAAUAAAAUAAUAAAAUAUGUCAUUUAUUUAAUUAUUUUCUUAAUCAAAUAUAUUAUAAGUUAUUAUUUUUUAUGUUAAAUUGUUUUUUUUUUUUUAAAUAGUCAAAUAUAUUUUAGUCGAGUCGCAGGUCAACCGCAUGUUAGUGGGCACUUCGAAUGCUUAAACCCUUCUCGAAGUGUAAAUUGAACCCCGAACCCUCUUUGGUAUUUUCAAAUAAUUUUUCUCUGUUUAAAUCUUUGAAAAUUAUAAGUUUCUUAAUUUCUUUAAAAAAAAUUAAGUGGCGACUCUUUCUAAGUAUUUUUUUUUUUUUGUUUUAUACUUGGAACAUUUCAAAAAGGUGAUUUUUCUAAAGGUUAGGAAAAUUACGGCACAACAGUUAAAGUACUAAAGUAAGUUUUGCUGCCAAGUUUAUGAGUUUUUUUUUUAUGUAUUAUCUCCUUUGCAUUGCGUAAGCAUAGAACACCUUAUUCUCGCUAGCUCUUAUUUUCUUCAUGGUUACUUUGCAGAACCUCAUUAGGAUUGAUAAGGUAAGUUCCAGCCCCCUUGUACUUAUUCCAACGGAGGAUUUUUAUUUUAUUAUCAAUAAAAGACCAUUGGACAUACUGUCUAGCAAUAAAUUCGAAGAAAAAAAUAAUUCUUCCUUCAAGUUCACUUUGCUUGUGUACGGCUGUUCCAAUUUUCUGGCCCAUUGUUUCUCAUUUUUUUUGGCUGCGUAUCAUGUUUCCUACAAUUUCUUGUCCUCGAGUAGUUCUGGAACCCUUUGGGUUAGUUUCUUGGUUCAUAACUUAAAUUUAUACGUCUUUUUCUUCCCAUAAAAUUCUCAAUCAUUUGUGUCAUUACCUUGCCAAAAAAGUAAGAAGGGAGCAAGGAUAUUCUUAUUUCUAACUGUAUACCCAUUUUGUAUUUUUGUGCAGAUAUGUACAGGCUGGAACUCUGACGAAUAACUAUUUUCACAUUUUUGCUAUGAUCGCAAUUCGCAUUCCUACAGAAGCGAAGGUACCAAGUCAAUACUUUAUAAAUGCUUGACAUGUGUGGAACCUUGAACAUUCUUCAUAAUUGUAGUUGAUGCUUGCAUUCAUCUUCUUGUUUUUGUUUUCUAAUUGACUCUCUUUGCUGCUUCAAUUAGAGUGAAAACGGCAUUUGCUCCUUGGAUAAAAUUGACUCUCUUUCUCCUCAUUCUUUUUCUUUCAACUUCUUCUCUUCUUCCUUUCUUUCUACCAACUUCCAACUUUCUAUUCUUGCAAAUAGUCAUUUUCUGCUUCUUCCCAAUACAUUUCUAUUUGUGGAUAGAUAUGAAUGUUUUGCAACUUCUUUUAUUUUUAUCUUCAGGUUCCUGUCAUUAGGUUCAUUGAAUAUACAAUUAUGACUUGUAUUUAUCUGUUGAAUAAGAACAUGUUAUGUGGCUCAUCCGUUGAUCUUUGCUAAGUUUUCUUAAUGGAUCCUUGGUGGAAUCCUGUGGUGGAGCAGCAAGCCCAAGAUAGAAUCCAUAGAAUAGGGCAAUAUAAACCAGUCAAGUGUCUGUCGUAUUUAUUCUACUUUGAAUGGAGCUUAUUGUUGUUUUCAAAUUUGCAGGAUUGUGAGAUUUGUGAUUGAGAAUAUAAUUGAAGAGAGUAUCUUAGAGUUGCAAGAGAAGAAGAAAUUACUUUUUGAUGGGCAAGUGUGUUUUUCUUAUAGUCGUCUACAUAGUUGCAUUUGUCUUCUGAAAAAAAUAAAGUAUUUUGAUGAUUUUCCCUUGCAAGUUUUUUUUGGUAACCAAUGUAAAUUACCAUUAACAAAUGAUAAACAAAUACACCUAAAGAGCACUCUAGUUAAGCCUCUUAUAGAUCUCUCCAACAACCAACAAUACUUAUUCGCCUUUCUAGACCGUUUAACUAACUCAAGUCUGUCUGCAAAUUCCUUCUUAAUUUGUGUCAUGGCUGUAUCUGUAUUUACAGUGACGCCUUUAAACAACUUUCAGUUCCUUGCUCUCAAAACCUGGUAUAUCAUUGCUCCACACAAUGCAGCAAUAAGUUCCUUGUGAAACUGUUGCCAAUUCUUCCUUUUGAGUCUAUUUAGAAUAUGUUUGACAGUUCCAGAAGGAAUCGAUGUCCCAGACCAUUGUUGCAUUUCAGCUUAGUGUCAAUCUUUUUAUUACAUUCCUUCUUUGCUCCCUUCCUCCGCUCUUUCUCUAAAAAAAACAUUUUCCCCUAACUGUUCGUUUUUCCUUUGAUUGCAGGACAGGUGGUUUUACUUCAGAGGCCUUAGGAAAACUAACAACCAAGGACUUGACAUCCCUGUUUUAUCAUCACUUUUGAUAUGUUCUAUUUCUUCGGUUUGGCAAACUAAUUGACAUUUAUUUGUUCAGCUUCUAGUCAAAUUCUGUACAAAGUGUUCUACAUUUGCUUUUAGGCUGUAUGGAAUCUGAUCUAUUUAAAGAGUGUUUCUGUUGCUUCUACAUGUUAGUUGAUAAGAAUCACCUUCAACAGUCAUUAGCUUCAUCAAUUGUUCUUAUUGUUUACUUCUAUUUUAACUUCACUUGCAUAAUAAAAAGUGCAUCAGAAUGCAUACCCUCAAGGUAAGGUCAUGGAAAUGUGCAUCUUCCAUUUAGUUUAAAAGGUUCCUUUAUUUUAAAAAGAUUAGGAUUAGGAAUGUCACUGUAUCUUUCUUCUAGGCCAAAAUGGUGAAUUUUGAAGCUUUAUUCACACUGAAUUUAGUAAUCGAAAGCUCUGUAAUGUUAAUUAUUCUAAUUAUUUUUCGUUUUGAAUAAUUUGUUGUCUUUUUUCUCUCUGUUGAAUGAAUCAUUUUUUAAAUUUUGUGUAUAGUUAAUGACCUAUAACCGAAUCGAACCGAAAUCGAUAAAUGUACAUUGUAUUUGGUUUUUCCAAUUUUAUAGAUUUUACACAAAUCUCAUAGUGUUAAGAGCUAAUUACGUCUUAUCCCUACUCUUUUCCAAAUUAUUACAAAAAUCCAUUAAAUUUGGUGGAAUCCGGAUACAUCCCAAAACGUCUCGAUACAUCACAUUCCGAUUUUGGAUACAUCCUAAUACAUCGCAUCUUGGUUUUGGAUACAUCACGUACGUCCCGAUACAUUGCGUAAACUGAUGUAUCCAACUGACACGUCACGUAAAGUAAUAUCUCGAUAUAUCGCAAAGUGAUGUAUCCGAUCAAUACAUCGCAAAGUGAUGUGUCCGAUUGAUACAUCGUGUAAACUAGAGAUUUUUGUAAUUUUUUCAUAUGGUAGAGAAUUUUAGAAAAUAUAGUAAAAUAAAUUGUGUAUUUAAGUCAUUUUUCCAAUUUAAAAAUCGAUUAAAUUAAUUUAAUUUCGAUCAAUAAUCGACCCAACCCGACUCGUGGACACCCCUAUAGAUGACAUAUUUGAACGUUUUCUCUUUAAAGAAUGGUGAGCUACAAUAUAAUCUAGUUUAUACAUAACGUCAUAAUUGAUUAUAUAAAUUCAAGAACUUUUAACCCAAAAAUAAAUGACGGAUUAUCUGAACCUCCAUAAAUUUGACGUGUUUUAUUUAGAUUUUCACGUAAGCUAUCCAUCAAUCAUAUUAAUUACCCUAUCAAAUGAGUCAAGUUAAUUCGGGGAUACUUAAGACUAUUUAUAGUUAAGCAAAUCUGGACAGAACAGGCCAAAUUUAAGUUUAUCGGACGAAAAAAAAAAAGUAAAUAGAGAUUAUAACAUUGGUCAAACACUUAAAAAUGGUUUUUUUUAAAAUUUAUUUAACGCGGUAAAAUUCCUUUUUCUAAAAAAGAAGGAAAAUGAGUAUUCAAAAAUAAGCAUUUGGUGAAUGAAAAUUUUUAGUCAUUUUAAACUUAUUUUAAGUUAUUUUUAACCUUAUCAAACACUUCCUAACUUAUUUUAAGUCAUUUUUUUGGAACUUAUUUUAAAUUAUUUUUAUACUUGUCAAACACUUAUAGAAAUAAAAAACUGACUUAAAUGUAGGUUUGACCAACUUUUAAGUCAAUUCAAAUACCCUUGUAAUCUAAUUUAACUUUAAAAUUAGUCAAAUUGACUUUUGAAAAGCACAAUAUGACAAAUAAAAAUGGACAAAGAGAGUAUUAAAACUUCAAACACAGUAUAUAUAACACAUUAAUUUCCUAGAGCAUCUAGAUUUUUCUUAAGUAUAAAUAUCAAAGAUAUUUACUCUACAAAAUUUUAGAAAGACCUACUAAAUAUCUGAGAUAUUUUUUGUAUCUCCAAAAUUCUAGAAAGUUCUACUAAAUAUCUAAGAUAUUUUUUGUACCUCCAAAAAAAUAACUUUAAUUUUUCACAAGAGGGAGUAUUUAAACUUCAAACACAGUAUAUAUAUAACACAUUACAUUCCUUAUAGGGGGAAGGAAACAUAAAGUAAUGGAGAUUGUUACUUACCAUUUCUUAGCCUUAUUUUUAUUAGCAAUUACCUUUGUAAUAUAUGCAUGGAGAUUGUUGGACUGGGCAUGGUUUAGGCCAAGGAAAUUGGAGAAAUGCCUUAGAAAACAAGGUCUCAAAGGGAACUCUUACAAAUUGAUUUAUGGAGACAUCAAAGAGCUGUCUAAAAGCAUUGAAGAUGCAAAGUCCAAACCAUUGAAUGCCUCUGAUGAUGACUUAACACCAAGAAUUCUCCCUUAUUUCGUUCAAACAAUCAAGAAAUACGGUAAUUUUUUGUUUUCUUUUCAUUGGUUUUCUCAUGUAUUUGUUUUAGGGUUUGAUUAGUUUGAAUUCACAUAUGGAGUAAAGUGUACUUCAUUUCAAAGCUCAAACUCGAGAUCUUUGAUUAAGCUCUUGUUUGACCAUUGAUUUUGAAGUUGAAGCUUGAGAAUUGAGUUUUUGAAGUUAUGAUUUUUUUAACUUAAAGUUGUUUUACUUGGGAAUUUUUGAAGUUUUGUGAGUGAAAAGUGAAAUUUUUCCACCAGUUUUAUGGAACUUGGAGAUUUCAAAGUUUGUUUCAAAUCUAUGGUCAAACAGAUAUUUCAAGAUGCUUUUUCAGAAGUUUUGAUCCAAAAUCUAUGACCAAACGCGAGGUAAGGAUAGAGGGGUGCUUACCCGCCCACAACAACAUGAUCCAAUGACUCAACUAUAGAUAUCAAGUAGGAGUUCGGAUAAACUAGUUACUUUUGCUUGGACCAUAUAUUUAUAAUAGGAAAUUUAUUAAAUAUGCAUACAUAUUUAGUUUCAAAUCCAACAAGUAUAAUGAGAAUCUAGCUAUAAAUUUCAAGUUCUAACUCCACAUCUUUCUAUACUUGUGAAAAGUAAGAAAAGUUGAGCUAAGAAUUUUUGGCCUUGCAAUAUUGUACAGGUAAAAACUGUUUUAUAUGGGUUGGGCCAAAGCCUUUGGUAAUCGUAGGGGACCCUGAGGUAAUAAGGGAUGUGUUUAACAAACAUGCCCUCUAUCAAAAGCCAAAAUACCCUCCACAGACCAAGUUGCUGGCAAAAGGAAUUCUAAGCUAUGAAGAUGAUAAAUGGGCAAAGCAUAGGAGAAUUCUCAAUCCUGCUUUCCAUAUGGAGAAGAUAAAGGUAUUUUAUCAUUCCUCUCCCUCCCAAAAGCAUAAUAUAUUUUCACAUAGGGGGGAAGCUAAGGGGACAAAAGGGGUUCAUUUGAAUCCACUUUGUUGAAAUGUUAAAUUUGUUUAUUUUUACGUAUGUAUAGUAGAUGUUGAAUUCCCUUGGUUUCUUGGUGUGUUCAAGUAUUAACAGUUUAAGUUUUUAAAUAAGAUAGUCACGCAAUGCAACAAAAAACCUCAUCUCCAUAAUCACAAAUUCACGAUAUCAUCCCCCCCCCCCCAGAAGCUCCCCUCCUUUUAGCUCCUUUAGUGACUCGAACCCACAAUCCUAGGUUAGAGGUGAAGGGUGCUUACCGUUUGAGCAACUCUCCAUGUAUCACAAAUUCAUGAUAUUGACUCUGCUUUCAUUCUGUUUUCUCUCUAGCUUGCAAUUAUGGCCUAAGUUUUUUUAGGAGAUAAUAUUUCUACAAGAUGCAGUUGGUUUAAUUUGUAUUAAUGAGUGGUUUACAAUGUGUAGGAUAUGCUUCACACAGUUCAUUUGAGCUGCAGUGAAAUGGUGAGUCAAUGGGAGGAGGCUGUCUCAAUGAAAGAAUCGUCCACCGAACUCGAUAUAUGGCCUUACCUUCAAAGAUUGACUAGUGAUGUUAUUUCUCGCACAGCCUUUGGGAGCAACUAUGAGGAAGGUCGAAAGAUAUUUGAGCUUCAAAAAGAACAAGCUAAGCAUGUCAUUGAAGUUUCUCGCACCUUAUAUAUUCUGGGAUGGAGGUAAUACGACGUCGUUUUUUCAUAGUUUAAGUUAUGUAUUACAGAGUUCAUCACUAAUCUGUUGCUAAAUGGCCCCUAGCUAACAUAUUUUUUGGUAAUGGUUUCUAAUCCGUCCUUAAAUAGGAUCAUCGACAAGUUUUUGUGGAAGUUGUACGCCGCUAAUACCUAUGUUUGAUGUUUCUAUAGUGCCUUCAAUGACAAGUUAAAAUACAUUGAUAGAGUAAAAACUAUUUACGUGUGUAUAUAACUUAAACCCUUCUUCCCAGUAUCUAUAUCCAAAUAUAACAGGAAAAGAAGUUUAAAAUAGUGAUUAUUUGAUGAUGAUAUACAUGUUUUUUUGUGUUAAACUAAUGUAGGUUCUUGCCAACUAAGAGAAACAGAAGGAUGAAGGAGAUUGAGAGAGAAGUUCAAGCAACAAUUAGGGGAAUUAUUGAUAAAAGAGUGAAGGGAAUGAAAGCAGGGGAGGCCAAUACUGAUGACCUAUUAGGCAUAUUGUUGGAAUCCAACUUUAAAGAAAUCGAGCAACACGGUAACAAGAAUUUUGGUAUGACUAUAAAAGAUGUUAUUGAGGAGUGUAAGUUGUUCUUUUUUGCUGGACAAGAGACAACCUCUGUAUGGCUUGUAUGGACUAUGAUUUUGUUAAGCAGACAUCCAGACUGGCAAGUUCGCGCUAGAGAAGAGGUUUUGCAACUUUUUGGAGAUGGCAUGCCAGAAUUUGAUGGAUUAAAUCGCUUGAAAGUUGUAAGUUAUUUUAGCUUGCUUACCUUCCUUUUAAUUUACAUAUCUCCGCAACACAUGGUGUUACUUUUAUUUAGCGUCGGAUUAAGGAUUUAAACUUACGUUCUUUGCAUUGAACUCAUUGUUAUACACUCUCCCUUUGUUCCAUUUUGUGUGACGGUCUUUUCUUUUUAGUUUGUUCAUAAAAGAAUGACAUAUUUAAUCUUUAAGUUUCCAAUUACCCUUGAUGGAACACUUUUAUAGCCAUAGAAAUAUCAUGGAAUGUUUAUGAUCUCAAGUUUUAAAAGUUUUUUUUUCUAUUUAACUCCAUGCCCAAUCAAAUAGUGAGUAUGUGUUUGUUUGAAUCGUUUGUGGAAAAUAUUAGAUUCAUUUGAACACGUUCGACAUAGGCUCCAUCAAUCUUUGGUUCUAUGUUCUUGAUUUCCUUAUUACUUUAAUAAUUCAAUGCUGAACUCAUUUUAACAAUAGGUGACAAUGAUUUUGCACGAGUCAUUAAGGCUAUAUCCACCAACUGCUGCACUAGGUCGAAGGAUUACAACUAAAAUGAAGCUAGGGAAACUAAAUUUACCAGAAGGAGUGAUGCUGUCUUUGCCAACAAUUUUAGUGCAUCAUGACAAGGAAAUAUGGGGUGAAGAUGCAACAAAGUUCAAGCCAGAGAAAUUCAGUGAAGGAAUUUCAAAGGCAACUAAGGGCCAAAUGACGUUUUUCCCAUUUGGCGCGGGACCUAGGAUAUGCAUUGGACUGAACUUCGCAAUGAUAGAAGCGAAGAUGGCUAUGGCUAUGAUUCUGCAACGCUUUGCGUUUGAACUAUCUCCUUCGUACACUCAUGCUCCACAGUCUGUAAUAACUAUGCAACCCAAAUAUGGUGCUCCUCUAAUGUUGCAUAAAUUGUAAGUUGAGAGUUACAUGAAAUGCCUUGCAUUGAAUUAAUAACUAUGUCAAACAAGCAUAAUUAAGUUGAUAUAUAUUGCAGCUUUGGUCUCUGCUUUUUCCCGUAAACAACGAGAACUCAUCCUCGGUGUUUUUUUUUCUUCCAGUUUUAUGUGCAAUUUUUAUUGUUUAAAAGUUAUUUUUAUGAUUGGAAUGUAUGAUCAGUCUUUCUAGUUGAUUAUAAUUUUUUGUGUUUCCCAAUUUUUACCGACGACUGUAAUGAUUUCAUCCGGUGAUUAUCCGAGAGGAAGUUUGGGAACAAAAGAGCCAAAUUGAGAUUCUCUCAUCGUUCAAAUGAGGAAGGAAUUUGUGUUUCCUAUAGAGUAUAUUUUUUUCUGCCAUAAUAUCUUUGACAGACUGUUAUCUGGCAGUUUUUUUUUCACAGAUAUCUAUAUACCUCACAUAAGAAAUGAAUGAAUGCAAUAUACAUUUUUCUCAUUUCACAAAUUAGUUCUCUCUCUCUCUCUCUCAAUAAUGGAGUUGGCUACUCCAUUGAUGCUCAACAUUGAGCUAGAUUGAAGUUUGACAUGGUAUCAGAGUCACACGGCUAAUUCCGUGAUUCCGUCACGCAAUGUUCCACUGCCAGUUCACAAUCAAUUGCUCCUCUGAUCGAUUAUCCCUGUUUCUUCCCCUUUUAUCUCGAUUUUUUUUUCUGCUAUGGGCGAUCAAACUGACGGUGUCGUCCCUCCGAGUAGGACUGGGAAAUCGACCAUUGAUGCAACCAGUCCACUCUAUGUACAUCCUUCAGACAAUCCCGGGGCAAUGUUGGUACCAGCACCAUUUGAUGGAAUUGGGUACAGAUCCUGGAGAAGAGGUGUCCUGCGUUCUCUUUCUGUGAAGAAUAAAGUAGGUUUCUUCACCGGUGACUGUGUGAAGCCAAAUAUGCCAUCUCCUGAGCUACGACAAUGGAAGAGAUGUGACGAUAUGGUAACUUCCUUGAUCCUCAACUCUCUUUCUAGGGAAAUUGCAGAUAGUGUUGAGUAUGCUAGUAAUUCAGUAGAACUCUGGAAAGAAUUGGAGGAACGAUAUGAUCAAACCAAUGGUGCGAAAUUAUAUCAAAUACAAAAAGAAAUCAAUGACAUGGCUCAAGGCAAUCUCGACAUCACUACUUACUACACUAGGCUGAAAAAGCUAUGGGAAGAAUUAUGUACUUUGAAUGCUAAAACUCAUUGCACCUGUGUUUGCACUUGUGGUGCAAAGGAUAACUUGCACAAAGCAGAACAAGAGAGAAGAUUGAUUCAUUUCCUCAUGGGACUUAAUGAAGUGUACACUGUGGUGAGGGGGAGCAUCCUCAUGGUGAAUCCACUGCCAAGUAUGGUGCAUGCUUUUUCUAUAUUGUUCCAGGAGGAAAACCAACAAGAGUUCAAGCCAACAAAUUAGUUCAUUAUGGAGUCCACCUCUGUUAUUGCAGGUUCAUCUGGGGCUUCUUCUUCAAGACCAAUUACUCCCCCAACAUCUAUCCUCCUAUACCCAAUUAUUCACUUGGAAGCUCCUCUAGCAGCCACUCUGGGAGGAGACCUAUGUGUGAAUAUUGUAAGAGGCAAGGGCACACAAAGGAUAAGUGCUACAAAUUGCAUGGCUAUCCUACUGGUCCACAAUAUAGCACCAACACUCAAAGCUAUAAUAAUCAGAAUUACCAGAACUACAAUAGUGGUCAGGGGCAUAAUCAACACCAAUCUUACCGGUUCAACAAAGGAAAGGGGAAAGUAGCGAAUGUGCAUGGAUAGCCUGUUGAUGAUGUAACAGAUAAGGGAAGGUCUAGCCAUCCAGAGUGAGGAUCAAAACGUUAGCCUAACCAAAGAGCCAUAUGGACAGAUGAUGCAAUUGCUGAGAUAAUUUCAAAGCAGUGAUGGCUCAGACAACACUCAUGGAGCUGCAAACUUUGCAGGUACUGUGAUCUGCAAUUCUUCAAUUGAUUUUAGUAAACCAUCUUGUAAAUGUUUUGAAUCAAAGGCUGACUUGUGGAUCCUAGACUCAGGAGCUUCCAACCACAUGACCUUUAACAAAAACUCAAUGACCAACAUCAAAACAUUACCAUAUCCAAUACUUAUUAGUCUUCCCAAUGGUUAUAAGGAUAAGGUACAAGAAUUUGGUGAUGUAACACUUACCCCUGAGAUUACCAUACAUAAGGUGUUGUUUAUCCCAUCUUUCAAAUACAAUUUGAUUUUUGUUCACUCCUUAACUGUUCAACUCAAGUCUAUUGUCCUCAGGAGAUUGGUAGUAGCAGAUGUUAGAAUAGAAUAUGUACACACAAUCCUACACAGAAUAGGAAUAGUUUAUAAUCUCCUAUUUGGUAAGGAAUUGUAUUGUAGUAUCUAUAAAUAGGGUUCUCUAUGUAAUAAUUAAAACAACAAUUCAAUAAUAUUCUUCUCCAAUAUUUCUCACAUAGUAUCAGAGCAAUUGUGAGAGAAAAAAUAGAAAUAAAAAAAAUCGCACACUUUUUUUCCGGUAACCUAGUGGCUGUCCGGGUAAUUAAUAUUUUCCGUCAUUGUUUUUCAAAAAUUAACACCACCACUAGCUGAGGAACUUCCCGGCGAGCAAACCCCAAUCAUCCCCGCCAGAAACCAGUGCUACACACACCGUCACGCGCCUCCGGAAGAAUUUCUCCUGCGAGUUGUCAGAUCCACGCGCCGGCGCGUGAGACCUGUUCCGGUCAAUUUUUCGACAAUUUUUUUCCUAUCUGGGUCGCCUCUUCAUUCCGAGGCUAACCAUAUAAUCUUUUCCUAAUUCCGACCAAUAUUUGGCGAUCAGAUCUACUUUUCCGGCAACAACCUAUUUCUUUUCCAGAUUCCGACAGAAAAAAAAAUCCAAUUUUUUGGCUACUCAUUACAGUUUAUUAUUAUUAUUAUUUUAUUUUUUUUGGCUACAUAUUCUAAUUUCACAACAUGUCUUUCGGGAUUGAUACUUUUGGCUCCAAGAAUAUAGGAAUUGGAAGUUCAAUCCCUAUGAUCUCUUCCUGCUAUUACUUUGGCCAAUGGGAUACAAACAAAACCAAAAGGGGUUGGAAAAGCCACACCUCUAUCUUUUGUCACUCUAGACUCUAUUCUAUAUGUCCUUGGUUCUCCUUUUAAUCUGGCAUCUGUUAGUCGUUUCACACGUGCCCUACAUUGUAGCAUAACCUUUUUUGAUGAUUUUUUUCUCAUGCAGGACCGCAGUACGGGACAGACGAUUGGCACAGGACAUGAAUCACAAGGCCUUUACUAUCUUACCUCUUCAACUUCCUUCACAGCAUGCUCCGUUACAGAUCAUCUGGACCUCAUUCACAAACGUUUGGACAUCCGAGUCUAUCCAAACUGCAACAGAUGGUGCCUAGUUUAUCUAGUUUAUCCAAAUUAGAUUGAGUCGUGUCAACUUAGGAAACACACUCGUGCCACAUUUUCACGUGGUACUGAGGGGCGUUCAGAGUCUAUUUUUUCAUUAGUUCAUUCUGAUAUUUGGGGUCCUAGUAGAGUCAGUUCCACCUUAGGAUUUCGUUAUUUUGUUAGUUUCAUUGAUGAUUAUUUGAGAUGUACUUGGGUUUUCUUAAUGAAAGAUCGUUUUGAGUUAUUUUCUAUAUUCAAAGUUUCUUUGCUGAAAUACAAAAUCAGUUUGGUGUUGCUAUUCGUACUUUUCGUAGUGAUAAUGCCUUAGAAUACUUAUCAUCCAGUUUCAAGAGUUUAUGUCUCACCAAGGAAUUAUUCACCAAACAUCUUGUCCAUACACUCCUCAACAAAAUGGUGUAGCAGAAAGAAAGAAUAGGCAUCUCAUUGAGACUGCUCGCACUCUCCUCAUUGAAUCUCAUGUUCUGCUGCGUUUUUGGGGAGAUGCAAUCCUUUCAUCUUGUUAUUUAAUUAAUAGAAUGCCCUCAUCUUCUAUUCGGAAUCAGGUUCCACAUUCCAAACUGUAUCCUCAGUCACAUCUCUAUUCUAUCCCUCCUCGUGUAUUUGGGAGCACAUGCUUUGUUCAUAACUUAGCCCCAGGAAAAGAUAAAUUAACCCCUCGUGCUCUUAAAUGUGUCUUUCUUGGUUACUCUCGAGUUCAAAAAGGGUAUCGUUGCUAUUCACAUGAUAGGAAUAGUUUAUAGUCUCCUAUUUGGUAAGGAAUUGUAUUGUAGUGUCUAUAAAUAGGGUUCUCUAAUGUAAUAAUUAAAACAACAAUUCAAUAAUAUUCUUCUCCAAUAUUUCUCACAGCAGAGAUGGAUUGUAUUACCUGUGUUCAAAAUGUUUGAAGAGCAGAAAAUUCAUCCCUAAGGCAGAUUUCAUUUCCUCUUGUAAUUGUAUUUCCAAUUCCAGUUUCAAUUCUAGCUCUAGUCUUUCUGAUUCAUCUUCUUUGCAUUCAGUUGUUGAUACUUAAUCUUUGUUUCCAUGUAAUGCAAAUGUUCCUCUCCAAGUUGCUCUUCCUUGUUCAUCUAGUAAAAAUGAUGUAGACUUGUUGUGGCAUAAUAGGCUGGGACAUGUUCCUUUUGUUAAAAUGCAAAGCAUAUCUUCUAUCCCUUCUCAGUUUUCUUCCAAGAAGCCUCUUAUGUGUACCAUAUGUCCCAUGGCCAGACAAAACAAACUCCCAUUUCCCACAAAAACCACCGAAACUACCAAAAUCUUUAAAUUGCUUCACAUUGAUCUCUGGGGACCUUAUCAUACUUCAACAUAUAACAAUUACAAAUAAUUCCUUACCAUAGUGGAUGAAUUUAGCAGGUCCACUUAGACACACCUAUUAAGCUGCAAAAGCAAUACCUUGCAGGUUAUAAAGACCUUCAUCUCCUUGAUUGAGACUCAAUUUAAAACCACCUUUAGCUUGAGUUUUAUAGUACAGAACUCCACCUUGAGUUUCAAAGUGAGGGGUCGGCUAAUACAUGCUUGAUGCUCAUUUUUACUUUUAUUGAAUGUAGAGGGAAGAAAUUAGCAACAUGGUUGAAAGGGAUGGUUCUGCAGAAGGAUUAGUUUUUAGCUAGUUCACAUCGUUUUUGGAUUUGAUACAGUAUUCUCUUAAAGUAAGAUAUAACAGUACUUUCUCCUUCCUACUUUCCCUUCUUCCUUUCAGACUAACAAAAAAGAAGCGUGUAUUGUGUGUAUUCAGCUGUCAGGCAUCAAUUGUGUUCAAUUAGUAUCCAUGUCUAUUGCCGUAAGAGAUGCUGCAGUUAACAGAUUCAAUGAGGAUUCAGAUUGCAGGAUAUUGCUUAUGUGCUUGAAAUCUGGAGGUGUUGCCCUCAAUCUUACAGUUGCUUCACAUGUAAGGAUCUAUUUUCUUUCUCUGGGUACCUCCCUAAAUUCUUAAUUCUUGUGCAUAUCUAAUGUUGCAUUCCUAUUAUAUUUCCUGUUAUUUAGUUCAUUUGAUAUACAAUUAUGACUUUUGUUUAUCUGUUGAAUAGCACAUGCUUGGUGGCUCAUCUCUUAAUCCUUUCUAGGAUUUCUUAAUGGAUCCUUGGUGAAAUCCUGCGGUGGAUCAGCAAGCCCAAGAUAGAAUCCAUCGAAUAGGGCAAUAUAAACCAGUCAAGUGUGUGUUGUGUUUCUUCUGCUUUGGAUGCCAUUGAAUGGGAGCUUAUUGUUGUUUUCGAAUUUGCAGGAUUGUGAAAUUUGUGAUAGAGAAUACAAUUGAAGAGAAAAUCUUGGAGUUACAAGAGAAGAAGAAAUUACUUUUUGAAGGGCAUGUUUGUUUUUCUUAUAGUCGUGUACAUAGUUGCAUAUGUGUUCUGACAAAAAUGAAGUAUUUUGAUGAUUUUCCCUUGCAAGUUGUUAUUGUCAAUCUUUUUAUUAGAUUCCUUCUUUGCUCCCUUCCUCCGUUCUUUCUCUAGAAAAUCAUUUUCCCCUAGCUGUUCGUUUUUCCUCUGAUUGCAGGACAAUUGUUGGUUCUUCAGAGGCCUUAGGAAAGCUAACAAACGAGGACUUGACAUCCCUGUUCUAUUAUCACUAAUUGACAUUUGCAUUGUUCAGCUUCUAGCAAAAUUCUGUACAAAGUGUUCUGACAUUUGCUUUUAGGCUUUAUGGAGUUUGAUGUGUCCAAAGAGUGUUUCUGUUGUUUUUGGCUGUAUGGACUUGACAUGUGCUUUCUUUGGUUUCGUUUUAAAAGAGGAUUAAACUGCUAAAGCUUAUAUACGACUACUUACUAGUUACUACAAAUAGAAACUGCCAAUAAACUGAAAGUUACUAACCAGAGACAAAAGUAACUAGCUAUACAAGUCACGAAUACAGAGAUCAUAAACAAAAGAAAGCAAGUGACAACAAAAAAUGUGAAAACUAGUACUCUCGUAGUUACAUUACAAUCAUCCAAAACAUGAAUUAGAAAGUUUUCCACACCACACUUAGACAGUGCACUGUCCCCAAUGCACAUCAAGUGAAGUACAAAACAGAGAGCACCAGCAUAUAUUCCUAUCUUCUCAUCCUCAGGACCCUCUACGAGUUGAUAUCCAAAAAAGCCUGAGAAGCUGGGAUAUUCUUAUCUCCCACAUACUACUCAGGACUGGACCUCUUUGGUGGUCAGACGAAUUUCUUACCUUUGGAGCAAUUGGUCCAGACCGUCCGCCCCAUUAUUAAUUACUUUAGCUUAUUUACAAAAUACUCAUGAUCAACUUAGGAGCUCGGAUUCACAUUCAGGCAAUUCAAAGAACAUCUAACCAGCAGAGAACUUUGUGCUUGUGUUCACAAGUGAAAGACUGUCUCACGGUGAGACUCUCACCCUUACAAAAUUUAGUUCACAUGCCAUCAUGCUAGAUAUAGGAAUUUGGGGAUGCCGGAGCUGGCUCAUGAAGGAUAGUUCAUGAACAAGAUCAGAGAAAAUACUCCCUUCAUCCUAAUUUAUGUGCCAACUUCUUGAAAUUUGUGAUGUAAAACAAAUGUUAUAUAUUUAUGUGGUUAUAGAGAAGGGCCUAUGCUACACAAAUAUUUGAAUUGGUACAAAACUACCUUUCCUCCACCUUUUUUCCCUAAAAUACUCCCGGCGUCUACCUUUUGGCUCAAAAAUACCCUCGAUGUUAAUCAAUUGGCUCAUGUUUGCCCUUAUUUUUAAUAGCCCCCUUAAAGUAAAAUUAUUAAAUAUUUAUUUAUUAUGUUGCCUAAUGUAAAUGGUCCAAAUUUAAACCCUUCUCAAAUAAAUAAUAAAAAUCAUAUUUUAAAAAAAAAAAAAUUUAAUAAAAACACAUAUAAUUCAUAUUUUGACUCGAUACACUUGAAAAUAAGAUUGAAAAAAAAUAUUAAUUUAAUGAUAUUUUCCCAUUGGCAUAUUUUAAAUCAACCCCAAAUUUAUUAUAACUCAACUCAUAAAUGGGGAUCCAAAUAGAAAAAAAUGGAAGAGAUAAGAAGUGAAGGGGUGGGGAGGAGUGUAGAGAGUAGAUGCCUAACUUUUUUUUUAUAUAUUUUUAAUUUACUAUGAAAUUCAAAAUCAAAUCAAUCAUAUAUUAAGUAAUUUCAAAUUAUUUUAAUGGAAAAAGGCUUAAAAUGCCCUUAAACUAUGAGAUUUUGUACAAUAUUGUGCUCCAUCCACCUUAUGAGUAUGAUUGUUAGAUAUAAGAGUAUUUUUGAGCCAAAAGAUUGGUGUCAGGGUUAUUUGGGGGUCCAAAUUGAGAGACAUUUUAGGCCCUUUUCCGAUUAAUUAUUAAGGUAAAAGGAAAAUUUUAAAAUAAAUUGUUUCUAAUUUUAAAAAGUUAACAUUUUUUUUUAAGAAACAUUUUUGUCAAAAGAGAUAUCAACUACUCGAAUCAUAUAUUAAGAAACCGAGAGAAACUUGAUCUUUUUUAUUGCUCGCAGAAAACAACAAUUUCAAAUAGUAUUUGAAAAGCACUAGUUUAGCCCGUUUGGCCAUGCUAUAUGGUAUUAUGAUAUGGAAUCAUGAGAUGAAAUUGAAAUUUUGUUUGGACAUGCGAUAUGUAAUUUUUGUGUUGUAUAUUUUCUCAUAAAUAUAAAAAUCUCAUAAGUUGUAAAACUAUUAAAAUAGCCCCAAUUGUUUAUUCAAUCUUAUCAAAUAAACAAAAAAUUAUAAAAUCGCAUAAUAAAUUAUUACAAAGCUAUUUGUUCUCCAUUUAAGUAAUUGUUUCAUCUAACUUUAAUUUAAUAAAAAAAAAUUGAACAUAAAUUGUAGUGUACUAGUCUUUAAUAUAAUCCUCCCACAUAGUACGGACAAUUUCCUCACGUUAAACUUGCAUUUCUCGAUCAUGUGACUGAGAAGACGAACCAACAUUGUUACUUUGAGUCAUUUGUUGGUCAAUAUCGUCCGCAGCUAUAUUUUCAUGCUCAUAGACCAUAAAUAUUUCAUCACUUUAAUAAUCGGUUGGUGUGAGUUAAAGUGACUAUGUGUCGGUGAGAAUAAUAAAUUUUAAAAAGUAAUGAUGUGAUUAUAAAUUUUAUUUACAUAUGAAAUAAAUGGUUAAUAGAUAUAAAUGUGAGGUUGUUUUAACAAAAUAUGAUCAACUUUUAUAUUAAAAUAUCUCAAAUCAUGAUAUGGAAUUCUCAUAUAAUUCCAUAUCAUGGUUUUUGGAGAAUAUGAAAUCACAUCUCAUGAUAUGAAAUCAUGAGAUGAAAUCAGCGUAAAAUCACAUGUUCAAAUGUUGAUUCCAUUUUACGAUACCAUAUUGCAUGGCCAAACGCCUGCUAAGUAAAAUAACAUCAACUAAUUAGGACUACUAAAGUUAAGUUAACCGGAAACUUAAAAGACUUUUCUUCCCAUAAAACUCUUGAGUCUUUUGAGUCGUUACUUCGCCUCCAGAAAGUACGAAGAGGAUAUUUUCCCUUCUCCUUCUUCCAAAGCUCUUGAAUUUCUUGUAUGAAAUUGGAUGAUUUUGAAAUGCCCAAAAAUGAAUGAUGUGUAAAUUUGAAUACCCUAUUCCUUUAAUUUUCUCGUAUUGCUGUCAAAUUCCUUAUCUGAAAUUCCAUUACGUAUUGAGAAGGAUAGAAAUGAGGAAAUAUGAAGGUAAAGGGAUACGAAAGAAAAGGAGAUACUGGAAGAUGAUAGAGAAUACGACUACUACAACACAUUGUACCAUAGAAGCAGAGCACAGUUCGGUAUGUAUGCUAUCUCUCUCUGAUAUUUCGUUUUCAAGCUCCAGUCAGGGUUCCGCUGCUCCCUUCUCUGUCACUAGGGCUAUUUGCUUAGAUUUGAAUAGGUAUGCUAAAUCUGUCAACUACCUGUUACACAAGGGUAAACAACACCAGUUCAUAAUGUCUAGAGAAGAAACCUCAAAAGCUUUUGUUUGAAUAUCUUUUUCUAAUUUACCGCCAUAGUUAUGUACAAACAGUCUCGUUACUAUCCAUUGCGUUGGCACCGGGUAAGCCAAUUAAUAUUGAUAAAGAAACCCAAGAGAAGUCAAGACCAAACACAACUAGGGUUGAAGUCGAACUGGAUUUAUUGGCUAAGCUGCCACAACGAAUGAAACUUCAACUUUCAACUUUUGUAAGCACCAAGGCCAUAAUAAAAGUGAAUGUCGAUUGCUAUUGAUAAAGAAUUCAACAAAAAAUCAAGAAGAAGCAUCGAAAAUUGGAACUUCUUUAGAUGCCAGGGACAUAUUAGAUGCAAAGCGAGCUGGUAAUGAAAUUAUACUAGUUGGUAAAUUUUGAGCAGCAUUCUAAUUUUGAAUAUUGUUGCUUCUACAUGUAUUAUGGAUGUGCAAAACGAGCUUACAGGAGAUGCAAUUUGUGUAUCAAAAUCUAGGAAUCAACAGGUGAUCGCCAAAGGGAUCAGUUGGCUACUAUUGCUACUAAAAUGGGUGAAAAUGUAGGUGAAGAGCAUGCUUGGUUGACUGCUGCUGGUGUAAUUGAUCAAGCUUUAGUUGCGGCACGGUUUAUCAAAAAUUCUGGGCAACAAGUACAUCAAUUUAACAAUGUGACUGAAAGGAAAUUGGUACAGAAUUCAAAUUGGAUUUUGGUGACAAAGAAAAAGCCUCCAGGUGUUAGAAUUGGUUCACCAAUUCAUAACACAAUGCAACAAAUUGUAGGAGGUUCCGUGUCUCUAAACUUUUGAUGCUCUUUCGGAUAAUAUUGUGUAGUGAGAUCAAUCCAACAACUUCUAAAAUGGUUAUCGCUAAUCAAGAAGUAAUUAAUACAUUAAAGGAAAAUCAGUUUGCUACUAUGAUUAAUUCCAUUCCAGAAAACAAUCUACCACUUGUCAAUUUAAAUGCCUUGGUACAGGAGAUUCCUCGCCAAUCAUUGGAAUAUUAACAUAGAUAUUUGAGGCAGCAGCUAAUGUCUACAAGGAAUGACCAAAAUGUUGAGAAAGGUAAGAUCUCAAUUUCUCAGACUAACUCUAAAAUUGAAAUGGUUAUUUCUAAUAAGGAACACCAAGGAGCGACAAGUGCUUUGAGGUGGGCAUAUAUAGUAGGUGAAGAGGAAGAGCGGGUCACUUCUCCUAUGCACAUCAAAUUAAACCCGGCAGCUCCUACUUUUGUUCCUAGAAGUGCCAAACCAGUAAUGCCUGUGAAGUUUUGCCAUCAACUGAUGUUGCUGCAAUUUUAAGUGAUCAGUUGGUGAUUUCCGAUGUUGAAAAGUUUACUUUUUUAACACCUAUUAACACAAAAAAACAACUACAAGUUGGUGGUGGUAGCCAUUUGUCUCCAAAUAGAUUUGAUAACCUUCAAGAUGAGGACAUCUUUGAGGAAGGUGAAGAAGAGGAUGUGUUGGAUCAUUAUUUUGCAAAUGUAGCUAGGAAUGCAGAUAUUUCUUCUAGGUAACAACUGCUUUGCUAGUCUUUGUUUUGGUCUUGAAAAAAUAACUCUCUGAUCUGAUGUUGGAAUGUUGGAAGUUGAUACUGUUUGUUCAUUAGUUCUUUUUUUUUUGACAAGUUUAAAGUUUUAUUUAAGCAGUACCAAGAUGGUACAGAAAGGAGCAAAAUACAGAGAAUAAAGCACAGCCUACUACACUCUCCUUCCUAACAAGGUCUAAGAAGUCCAUAUACUGAUUCAGAUUCACUAGUAGGCCACUUUUACACCAAAGUACAAAUUAGUUUUUUCUUUGCCACCCAUCAUGUUAUUCUUUCGCUUUUUACUUGUAAAACUCUAAAACUAAGUAAUAUAAUCUUGGGUUAUAAGCAUGAAACGUAUUCCAUUUGCAGAUACUGUGUCGUGGUUGUUCUUCAAGCAUGUUCUCAAAUGCUGUAUUUACAAAUCCACAAGGGAAAGAAAUAUAACAAAAGGGUCCCAACUUCCAGACAAAAAAAGUAAAAUCUUGGCGUUCAUGCCUACAUGCUGAAUAUUUACAUCCUUGCACAACUUUGCUUUCACAGAUAGUGAUCUUCAAAGUUAGAGAAGUACAUGUCACAUGUGAAAGCAGUACGCAAAUGUGCUUCUUAAGUCAACUUUCUUUCAUCAAACAAAAAAGUUUUUUUUUUUUUUUUGGAGAAAGGAAAAAAAUGNNNNNNNNNNNNNNNNNNNNNNNNNNNNNNNNNNNNNNNNNNNNNNNNNNNNNNUAUUCUUCAUAAAUGCCAAUCAAGUUCAAACAAAGCUUGAACUUGCUGACUGGAAGAGACUUCGUGAACAUGUCGGCAGGGUUGUCUCUUGUGUUAAUCUUCUUAACAGAGACCUUUCCUUCUGCAAUGGUUUCCCGAAUGAAGUGAUACUUGAUAUCAAUAUGUUUCGUCCUCUCAUGAUACAUCUGAUCUUUAGUCAAGUGAAUGGCACUUUGACUAUCACAGAAAUUGAUAAUACCACCUUGGUGUAAGCUAAGUUUAGCAAAUAGACCCUUCAACCAUAAUGCUUCUUUGAUCGCCUCGGUCAUUGCCAUAUAUUCUGCUUCGGUAGUAGAUAAAGCUACUACAUGUUGUAAUGUAGCUUUCCAGCUGAUAGCACAACCACCAAUGCAAAAAACAUAGCCUGUUAGUGAUCUUCUUUUGUCAAGAUCACCUGCAUAAUCAGAGUCUACAAAACCAACCAAAGUGUUAGGAUUUCUCCCAAACUCCAAACAUGUGUUUUGAAGUGCCUCGCAAGUAUCUAAGGAUCCAUUUCACAGCCUGCCAAUGUGCUUUACCAGGGUAAGCCAUAUACCGGCUUACCACACUUAUUGCUUGUGAAAUGUCUGGACGUGUACACACCAUUGCAUACAUAAUACUGCCAACAACACUGGAAUAUGGUACUUGUGCCAUAUAUCUCUCUUCUUCCUCUGUCUGCGGCGAUUGAGCAGCUGAUAACUUAAAAUGAGCAGCAAGAGGAGUACUCACUGGUUUAGCAUCUUUCAUGCCGAACCUCUCCAAGACCUUCUCCAAGUACUUCUUCUGGGUCAGGAAUAACCUUUUGGUUCCUCGAUCUCUUUUGAUCUCCAUGCCAAGGAUUUUCUUAGCUGCUCCUAAAUCUUUCAUUUCAAACUCACUUUUCAGCUGACUUUUGAAAGUGUGAAUUUCUGUCAAAUCCUUAGCAGCAAUGAGCAUGUCAUCAACAUAUAACAAUAAGUAAACAAAUGAACCAUCAUUUAACUUUCGGAAGUAAACACAACUAUCAUACAUGCUCCUCGAAUAACCAUGACCCAAUAUAAAGGAAUCAAACCUCUUAUACCAUUGUCUUGGAGAUUGUUUUAAUCCGUACAAGGAUUUCUUCAACAAGCAAACAUGAUCUUCUUUUCCUUCAAUUUCAAAUCCUUCAGGUUGAUGCAUGUAUAUUUGGCUAUUGAAUAUAUAUACACGAAAAUACCCAUUAAUAUUUUGCCAUUUAUUUAACUCCAAUUUAUGUUUUUUUUUCUUUCUAAAAAGUAAGUCUAUCUUCUAAUAAAUAUAAAUAAAUAAUAAUAUAGAAAAUGAAUGACCUAGAUAAAUUAAAAGACAUAGAGUUAUGUGUAUUCAAUUUCUGUAAAUGCUUUAUCUUCUAUUUCCUAAUGCAAAAAGUAAAACAUCUCUUUGUAGUAAUAAACAUAUGGAGAAUUGGAAAAGUUACUUGGUAUAUUCAAUGUGGAGAGUAAAUUCUUUUGAUCAAUUCAAUACAAUAUAUUCAUUUACUAAAUGCUAUAUAUUGUGUAUACAUAGUGAAAAAUCACAAGAUAACUAUUCCAAUUCAUCAAAUUAUUAAUAUCAAUUCUACUUUGUGUAGGCGACAUUUUUUCAUAUUCAUUUUGUGUUUGUGUCUCUCUUUUCUACUUAUGUACUCUAUUUUUUCUAUUCACAUUAUAAGUUAUUGUCUUUAAUUCGACUUAUUCAUAUAUGUUUUUUAAUUAGUUGAAAGUUCAUCUUACUUGGGUACACAAACAUUUGUAUCAUAGUUAUUUUACCUCUUGCAACAUAGAAAUUUGUCAUGGAAAUACCAAAUCAGGUAAGGUUACUAUCUUUUUAAUUAUAACUUCUUGGAGUAUCAUGAAAUUGUAUAUUCUUGUUUGUGUAAAUUUUGGUUAUGAAUCAUUUUACAUAAUUUAACUAAUAUUUUAUUGUUAAAUUCAUAGAUGAUAGAACUAAUAAUUUUGAAUUAGGCAAGGAGUACACUUACCUAUAAUAAUUAUGUUUUAUAUACAUCGAUUAGAUAUCUGAGCAAUUAUUAUUUUUAUCACUAAUAAUAACUAUAUUUUUUUGUAGGUGUACACCAAAAAAUUGACAAUGAUCCACUAGCUAUCAUAAGAAAGGUAUGUGUUGAUCGAAUUUAUGUGCAAUUUUUACAAAACACAAUUCACGUUUGGUAACAACUUCUUGACCUAUAUAUGAUUGUAAUAAGGUGGAGGCUACAAUUUCUUAGAAAGAAGGCAAAAAUUUUAGAACACGAAAUAUUUUGAACCAAUAAGCGACACUUAAAUUAUGUGUUGUGACACAUUAAAAAAACUUUUAUCAAGUUGAGUACUUGAUAUAUUAAAAAAAUACAUAAUCGAAUAUUACUUUUGAAAUUCAUUUGAUAGCAAUAUUUCAGCAUGAUGUACCUUCUACUGAUAAUAAUCUUGAUUGAAUAGACUCACCAUUAAUUUGUUUAAGCUUGUAUAUUUUCUCUUCAAUUACUAUGCAAGUUAUCGCACAAUGAUCAUCUACUAGCCAUCUUAAGGAAGACACAAAUUGAUCUAAUUUCUAUAUAACUUUUGCAAAACACUACUCUCAUUCGACAACAACUUCUUAAUACAUAUGCAAAUGUGAAAAGGUGGAGACUACAGUUUCUUAAAAAGAAGAUGAAAAACCUAAGACAAGAAAUAUUUUGAAAUCACAUUUGACAAUUAAAUUAUGAGUUAUGCCAUAUUAAACAGAAGAAACUUUUAUCAAAUUGAAUACCUGAUAUAUUGUAGGAAUUGCAUAAUUGAAGUUAUUGGUUUGAGCUUGUAUAUUUCUCUUCAAUUUUUGUGCAACUUAUCACACUAUUAUAAUAUUUUAGAUAGAAUUAGUAUUACAACAAUUUAAUUAAAGUAUAUUCAUUUUUUGGCAAUUAUCAAAUUCAUGUGUGUUUAUGGACCGAGGGGAAGUUCCAAAGAUUUUUUUCUAAUCUAAUGUUUGUCUCAAGUCUAAACAGAGGUGGAUCCACAUUCAGAUUUGUAAUUCUACCACUUCCAUCUAAUUUAUUUAUUUGGUGAAGUUCUUAACAUAUAUACAUGGUGUAAGCCAGCUCAGAUAAAUCCAUAGCUUACUCAUACGAAAAAUACAAAAAAAGCCUGAGUUGUUUUGAACUAUACUUAACUUGGUUGUCAUUUUUGCAAAGUCAAUCUCAUGUCUGCUUAUCCUUGUCUCUUUAUAGUGCAAAAAUCUUCUCUGUUUUUUCGCUGAACAAUAUUCUCGUGUGAACAUAUAUCGCUUGCAACAGGUUUUGUUUUAACUGAACCAGAACCUUAUGGAAGGGACAAAGAGAAGAAUAAGAUAGUAAAAAUCCUUACAAACAAAGUUUGUGAUGUCCAAGAGCUUUCAGUCCUCCCAAUACUUGGUAUGGGGGGGCUAGGAAAGACGACUCUUGCCCAAAUGGUCUUCAAUGAUAAAAGAGUGAUUGAGCAUUUCGAUCCCAAAAUAUGGAUUUGUGUCUCAGAAGAUUUUGAUGAGAAGAAGUUGAUAAAGGCAAUUGUAGAAUCUAUGGAAGGAAAACCACUAGGUGACGGCAUGGAUUUGGCUCCACUUCAAAAGAAGCUUCAGGAUAUGUUGAAUGGAAAGAGAUACUUUCUCGUUUUGGAUGAUGUUUGGAAUGAAAAUCAAGAAAAGUGGGACAAGAUAAAAGCAGUCUUAAAGGUUGGAGCACGAGGUGCUUCUGUUCUAGCCACCACUCGUCUUAAAAGGGUUGGAUCAAUUAUGGGAACUUUGCAACCAUAUGAAUUGUCAAAUCUGUCUCAAGAAGAUUGUUGGUUGUUGUUCAUGAAACGUGCAUUUGAGAACCAAGAAAAAAUAAAUCCUAACCUUGUGGCUAUCGGAAAGGAGAUUGUGAAAAGAAGUGGUGGUGUGCCUCUAGCCGCCAAGACUCUUGGAGGUCUUUUGCGCUUCGAGGAACAAGAAAGAGAAUGGGAACAUAUCAGAGAUUGUUAGGAUCGAGAACUCGGGUAGUGCGGAAUUUAGCCAAACAAUGUUGUAAUGACAAUAACAAAGACAAUAGUAAGUUGAUAAUAACGAAAGUAAAGCAAUUUAAAGAAGACACAAAUUUAACGUGGUUCGGUCAAUAGACCUACGUCCACAAGCGGAGAGGAGCAAUUUCACUAUAUCAACAAGAGUACAAAAGAGAGUAUAGAAUUAGAGUAAAUACUCUAAUUAAUCCCAAAUACCCAAAGAGAAUAACCUCACAAGAUCACUCCAACAAAGGGUUCACACAAGUGUUUCCCAACACAAACUCUCCUACAAAAUUACUCUUAAUGGAAAGACAAAGAAAGAAAACAAUGAAAUAUUUUCAUAUGCUUCAAGGUGUGUUUCAACUAAUGUCUAAGCUCCCUAUUUAUAGAGAAAAAAAUAGGCUUGUUGAUGUCAUGGAUGAUGUCUUUGGAAGAUGCAAAAUAUUCAACAUCUCAAUGUGAAUAUAUCAACUAUGGUGGCUUCCAAAUCUUUGACAAAUAUAGUUGCCAAAUCUUGACAAAUAUGGCUACCAAAUUUCCACAUUUGUGGCUUCCAAAUCCUUCACAAAAGAAAGAUAAAAUAACUUUCUUUCAUCAAACAAAAAAGCCACAUUACAAACUCAAUAACAAAAAGAAGCAUAAAUGAAAUACUAGUUUGGAUGAUAAGAUGACUAAGGAAUUUGUUUCGAGGCACCUACCGAUGCGAUUGGCAAAACAGAAUCACAUGACAGUGUCAACAUAUCAAGAGCUAUUGGACAGAUUUGUAAAGGGAAGUUUGAGGUUGAUAACUCAACUUCCUUCGUGGCUUUUAUAAUUUUGCAUUAUUUAAGCAUCAUCAUAUGUAAUACCAUCAGAGAGUUCGUAAUAAACUGUAGCUCUUAUUUUCUUCAUGGUUGCUAAAAGUAGAGGUUCUUAGCCUCAUUAGGAUUGGUAAGGUAAGCUCUAGCCCCCCUUGCUUGUUCAAAUUCCAAUGGAGGAUUUUUAUUUAUUAUUAAUAAAAAACCACUAGACACGCUAUCUAGUGGUAAAUUUGAAGGAAAAAAAAAUUCUUCCUUCAAGUUCACUUUGCUUGUCUACGGCUGCGCCAGUUUUCUGGCCCAUUGUUUCUCUUUUUUGGCUGCAUAUCAUGUUUCCUACAAUUUCUUGUUCUCAAGUAGUUCUUGAACCCUUUGGGUUAGUUUCUUGGUUUUUAACUUAAAUCUUAUACGUCUUUUUCUUCCCAUAAAAUUCCCAAUCAUUUGUGUCAUUAACUUGCCAAAAAAGUAAGAAGGGAGCAAGGACAUUUUUAUUUCUAACUGUAUUAUACCCAUUUUGUAUUUUGUGCAGAUAUGUCCAGGCUGGAACUCUGAGGAAUAACUAUGGUCACAUUUUUGCUAUGAUCACACGCCUGCGGAAGGUACCAAGACAAUGCUUUAUAAAUGCUUGACAUGUGUGGAACCUUGAACAUUCUUCAUAAUUGUAGUUGAUGCUUGCACUCAUCUUCUUGUUUUUGUUUUCUAAUUGACUCUCUUCGCUGGUUCAAUUAGAGUGAAAAUGACAUUCUGCUCCUUGGAUAUAAAUUGAUAAGAACAAUGGCUUUCUUCUCCUCAUUCUUUUUCUUUCAACUUCUUUUCAUCUUCCUUUCUUUCUACCAAUUUCCAAUCUUCUUUUCUUGCAAACAUUCAUUUUCUGCUUCUUCGCCAUAGUGCUUUGGUUGACAAUACAUUUCUUAUGUAUGGAUAGAUAUGAAUGUGCUGCAACUUCUUUUAUUUUUAUCUUCUGUUUAAUAUCCCUUUCCUUCUGUAUAUAUAAACAUUUUCUUGGUAUAAUUUCAUCACUAUAGUAUUACAUUGUUUUAGACUUAAGUCUUGGACAACAACAAUCAAUUUGUCAGUGGAUAAAAGGGAUAAGUCAUAAGUAUAAGUACCCCCUAGACUAUGACCGAAAUUUCAGCGACACAACGAAACUUAACUAAGAUCCUAUAACCCCCUGACUCAUUUUUUUCGUAUUUUUGUGCACAUUUUAUGCUGAUGUGGCACCUUUAACCACCCAAGUUGGUUGUGUUUGUACACACUCUCCCACCACGUGUGUAAAUAUUAUUUUUUAAUUAAAUUUUUUUUUUUUAAAAUUUAAAAAUAUUCUUAUUUUUUUUAUCUUGUCUUUAAAUUAAGUUAAUACACAUUUUUUUACGUUGUAUCGAAACUUUUUUUUAACCUAAAUUCAUUUUUUUUCUUUUUUAUUUUUCUAUUGAUUAUUUUUUCUUUGUCUUUCAUUUUGAUUUGAUUUCAAAUGUCUUGUAUUUAAAAUAAGUUAAUUUUGAACAGAUAUCAAAAUAAGUGAAGAAAAUCAAAUAAAACAUAAAAUAAAUUAAAACGUUAAAAUUAAAGGACACUUUUAAAUUAUUUUUAAAAAAUAAUACACAUAAUUUUUUUAAAAUAAUGAAAAGUGAAAAGAUAAUAAAUUAAAUAAAAAAAGUUUAAAGUGAAAAGAAAUAAAAAUAAAUAUUUUACAAAUAAAGAAAUAAAAAUAAUUAAAUAUAUAUAAGUUUUAUUAUCAAUAAAUAUGUGUACUAACUAAUUAUAAAGUCACCAAUAAAAAAAUGACAUGUGUCCCAUUUGUGCAAUCAUCACUUGCCUUCAAGAGAGUGUGCACACUCUCUAUGCCAUGUCAGCGUUUGUGGUGUAUUUAUUCCAUUUUAAAUUUGUUUAGGGGGGUAAUAGGACCCUAGUUAAGUUUUGGUGUGUCUCUGAGAUUUCGGUCAUAGUCUAGGGGGGUACUUAUGCCUUGUCCCGUGGAUAAAAUAUGUAAAAUCUGUGUAAAGAUUGAACUAAUGAAAGAGUUAUUUGACGUGCAAUCCAACUUAUCAGGCGACUGCUAGAGGUGUUAUUAAACGUAGUUGUUUGCUUAAAUUAUUUUCUCAUGUCAAAUGAAAUAUUUUGUGCUUUUCUUUUUUGUGAACUUAAUGUUGAAGUAUUUGUCUUACUAUGGUCAUCAGCCAAAUUUGAUUGUCGCAAAUGUUUGACCAAUGUCUUUCUUUAAUCGACAGGAAGUUGAUCAUCCUUACCUUGUGAAGUUUUCUACCAUAGAAUCGGCUAUUACAGUAAAGAGGCUUGAGAUGUUGAACAAUCGUGUGACUUGUGUCAUGAUUCAGUAGUGAGUUUGUGAACCUGUACCCCCUCCCCCAAAACCAACAACAACAUACCCAGAGAGGCUGUUUCUGAAAGACCCUCGGCUCAAGUGCAUCAAACCCAAGUAAUAAAGGAAGGAAACCAUGAAGAAAGUAUAACAGUUAAUAAAACAAUAGUGUAAAGUCUACAAGAAAGAACUCAGUGUAUGGCUAGUACUACAACAAGCAAAGAAACUAGUGUAUGACUAGUACUACAACAAGCACUAACAAGCCUAAGCAGGACACCCUCUAACCCUACUAACCUUCUAUUCUAAUACGUAACCUCCACUCCUUCCUAUCUAAAGUCACGUCCUCAGUAAAAUGAUGUUGCGUCAUGUCCUAUCUAAUCAUCUCUUCCGAAUACUUUUCUCGGCCUACCUCUACCCCUCUGCACACCCCAACUACAACCAGCCUCUCGCAUCUUCUCACUAGGGCGUCGUCACACCUCCUCUGCACAUGACCAAACCAUCUUAGUCUCACUUCUCUCAUCUUGUCUGCCAUAGAGACCACUCCCACUUUCUCCCAGAUAACCUCCCUCCAAACCAAGAAAAAGGAAAAAAGGAGAGAAGAAAUGGAAAGAAACACAUCCAAAAACAUGUUACUUAGUUUAAGUUUAAUUUGAUAGCUCUCCUCGUUUUGCAUUUACUAAAUUAUUUUUUUGUUGACCAUUCAAGGUCCAAGAACUUCGAGCAACUUCAAAUUUAUCAUUGUCAGCCUGAUAUUAUAUGUACACUCCUUAAAUGCCAUUUAGUUGUGUUGAACGGUUUUAAAUACUUUUUCCUUAAAAUUGUCUAGAUCAAUUUCGAAAAAGAACAGGUUUGUUGGAGAGGACAAUUUUUUUAUUACUUUAUUCACCCAUUAAUAUUAAUAUGUAUGAUGAUUGUAAAGAUAUGACAUAUGGGCCUAACUUAUUAGGGGAGAAUUUAUCAAGUCAAUAUAAGUAAACCACCAAUCCAUUCUCCAAUCAAUGUGAGAUUCUACCUACUUUAUCAUUUCUUCAUUCCCAGGCCCAACCAGAGUGUGGACCGGGAGCCCAAAUGGGGAUGGACCUGGCUUUGAUACCAUGUAAAGAUAUGACACCUGGGCCUAACUCAACCCCAAAAGCUAGCUCAUGAGGAGAGGAAUGCCCAAGUCUAUAUAAGAAGACCACCAGUCCAUUGAUGGAUAUCAGUUUCUAAGCAUCAAAAAAACAACAAGCCCUAAUUUCUCUCUGCUUUUUGGGAAAAUGAAUCCGCCAAUUCCAGGUUCUUCUUCUUUGUCUUGUUUGUUUUUCUUCUGAAGCUCUUCAAUCUUGAAACCUUGGUUGAAAUUGAAUGAUUUUGAAAUGACCCAAAAUAGAAAAUAAUGAAUGACAUGUAAAUUAAAAUACCAUGUGAAUGUUGUGCCCUAGCGAUGAGUUGUUGUCUUUAAUUUUCUCCUAUUUUUAAUUUAUUGAUGUCAAAUUCCAUAGGGGAGAUCCAUCUUGAAAUGCUAACACCUAUAAAUGCUUUGAAUAGUUCGCGUAAUUAUCUAACUAAAUUGAUAGUUGUUCAUGUUACUGAAGAUCAAAUGGACCAAGAUACGGAUGCAUAUCAUAGAUUCUAUGGCAUGGUGAGAAGGAUAAAAAUGAGGAAAGAUGAACGUGAGAGAAUGCAAAAGAUAAGAAGAUCAGUUUUGACAUGGGAGUUACUGGAACAAGAAAUGGAUGAAUUCCUUCUGGAGAAUUAUUCAGAUGAUUUAGACUUGGAUAUUCAGAACGUCUCGUUUGCUGAAACUGCCGAGGCACCAUCAGAUUUGAUCUUGCCACUAUUGAGGUACCAAAAGGAGUGGUUGGCUUGGUCAUU
rnacentral:lncRNA from 1 species